GCCAAUAAUGGCGCUCGGAUGGUUGACUCUCAGUCGCCGCGCAGUGGGAUUUCGCGGCGCGGCGCUCUUCUCUGGGGUCCCUCCGCCGUGGGAAAACGGCGAAGCGGGGGAGGGCGGCGUGGAGGAGCAGCAGAAGAGGAGGGGCCUCCAUCCUCGCAAGGUGUUCGACAGAAUCCCCUCCUUAAAGAAGGGCGGCCCACCCCACCCCGUUCUCUUUCUGGUGGCGGAGGGGAGGUGGUGUGGGGUUCACGGCGAAUGUCCCCCCGGAUGUGAAGGGAGGCGGCGGACCCACCUCCAGGCUCAUCCCGAUUGCCGCCGCCGUCGACUCCCGUGUCCAUCGCAGCUCUCUGGUGGUUCCCUUCAAUCCUUUAUAGGAUUCUUCCGGCAGGUCUACGUUUCUUCCUCCUCCCUCCUCCCACGACUACACGCCACAGCUCGGGUUGUGGAUCCCCCGAGCCGUCUUCCAGAUCUGCCGGAAGAAGGGUUUUUCUCCGCGCAGAGGAUCUUACCUCUGCGCCCCUGGUUUUCCUCCCCUUUGACGUCGUCUCCCCGGGCGAGUGGGCUUCGCUGGUUCAUCCUCAGAUUCGAACGAGCUGCUAUAUUUCCCGAGAGCGUUCCUCGUGGAUCCGCAGAUCUGUUUCCCUCCAUUGUUUAUCAUCGUUAGUUAUUGCUUCUUUUAGUUGUCGUCCUUGGAACGCUCUUUUUCGAAUCCCUGUUUGUCUUCACCUUCUCUCUCUCUCUCUCUCUCUCUCUCUCUCCUCCCUCCCUNNNNNNNNNNNNNNNNNNNNNNNNNNNNNNNNNNNNNNNNNNNNNNNNNNNNNNNNNNNNNNNNNNNNNNNNNNNNNNNNNNNNNNNNNNNNNNNNNNNNNNNNNNNNNNNNNNNNNNNNNNNNNNNNNNNNNNNNNNNNNNNNNNNNNNNNNNNNNNNNNNNNNNNNNNNNNNNNNNNNNNNNNNNNNNNNNNNNNNNNNNNNNNNNNNNNNNNNNNNNNNNNNNNNNNNNNNNNNNNNNNNNNNNNNNNNNNNNNNNNNNNNNNNNNNNNNNNNNNNNNNNNNNNNNNNNNNNNNNNNNNNNNNNNNNNNNNNNNNNNNNNNNNNNNNNNNNNNNNNNNNNNNNNNNNNCUCUCUCUCUCUCUCUCUCUCUCUCUCUCUCUCCUCCCCUCCCCCCCCCCCCCGAUCUGAUGUUCUUUUUCUUUAUAUCGUUCCUCUCCUUCCUCUUCCUAUCCAAGUCCCUCCCCCUGCAGCCCCUCCCCGCAUGGGCAAGUGAGGUGAGACUGCUGUCCCUGCCCGCCUGUCGGGAAAUCCUCGGCUACCUCUCCCGCCGGCUGGUGGGCAGCCGCCAGGUCGCCGCCGCCGUCGUCGCUCUGCUUCCCGCGAUGACCCACAAGAGGAGGAGCUCCAACAGUGUUGAGAAUGUGGAGUCAACGGGCGAGAUGUCGAUUCUCGACUUGCCGGAGCUGACCCUGGAGACAAUCCUCGGCAGGCUCUCGCCAGCGGGGCUCUGCAACAUGGCCGCCGUCUGCAACUCCCUGCGGGAGAGGUGCCGGAGCGACCAUCUAUGGCGGAGGCACAUGGAGGAGAAAUGGGGGAGCUUGAUGGGCCCUGCGACGCAGAGGGACUGGAAAUCGUUCGUCUCCUCUUGUGAGGACAAUCUCGUCGCCCCCGUUGGAGCCGGCUAUCGGAGGGGAUGGCUCAGAGCUCUUUCGUGCGUGUGGCCCCUCUCUUGGUUGACCUCGAAGCUCGGCGGCGCCGCCGAAACCAGGCCCUGGUUGCUGGACAACUCGAUCAUGUCCUGGUAUCUGGCGAUCGAGAGCGGCAUCUUCCGCUUCCCUGCUCAGGUCUUCAAUCGAGAGGUGCUCCUCUUCUCCUCGAUCAAUCACCUCGGCUUCGAUUACAUCAGCUUUCCCCUUUCCGACUUCUGAUCAGAUAUCAUCGUUGAAUUUCAGAACGGGCAUGUGGGGUUCAUGCUGUCCUGUUAUGACGCAGAACUCAGCUAUGAUUCUCGCACGGACGCCUUCACCGCGAGGUACCCGCCGCACGGCCGACGGACGAUGGUGGUCGAGGAAGGAGUGCCAUGGGAGAGACUGAGAGCUUCGCCGGUGGAAACCUCUGCUCACGAGCUCCACCUCUCCGAUUGCCUCGCCGAUCUGCGGCCUGGGGACCAUGUCGAGAUCCAGUGGAGAAGAAACAAGGAAUUCCCUUACGGUAGAUCCUCCCUUCCUGCUGCCCUCUCAAUGAGGAUCGAAGCUGGCUUGUCCCAGAAAUCUCCACCCGAGAGCUCAAUUUUUUUACCGGAGGUUUUAAUGGCUUCUCGCCGUCUGUGGCAGGCUGGUGGUACGGCGUCGUGGGUCACCUGGGUUCCUGCAGCGGGAACGAGCUCCAUUGUCGCUGUCACAGCAGUGGUAAGCUGCUACUCCUUCGAUGGGCGAAAUCCAUUCCCUUUCUUCUCCCCCUGAACCUUCUCCCCUUCUGUUUUGGCAGACACAGUGGCGCUGGAGUUCAACCAGUACACGGAGGGCUCGCGGUGGAGAAGAGCGAUCCUCAGUCGGAAGGAUCACCGGGAAGAAGGGAGCGAGGCGGAGGGCUUCUACGGCGGGGUCAGGAAGCUCCGCCGCGACGACGAGAUCGCCGCCUGGAGGCGGCUCUGGCCGGCCGGCGUGUUGGACUGAUUGGCCGCUCGGCAUCCUCUUCUGUUGCCAUUUUCUUUGCUCUUUUGGGCUGACCGCAUCGAAGACGGCAGCGUCGGCCGUAGGUUUUCGUGGAAAAGCCCGCAGCUUUCGUCUGUAAAAAUCCCUGUAAUAUAUUAUAUCAUACCUCCGCACGACUCCGAUGAACAGGCACGCAGAACCCAUCCGCCGAUUGAAUUUCGCUAGAUUAAAUUGAAGCCCAGAAGCGGGUUUUUAAGGAUAUUCAUUCCAUUUUGAGGAAUUUUCUUGAUUUCGAGGUGUUUUCUACGAGCUUAGAUCCGGUGAAAAUUAACUCUGGGGAUCCGUUCCGUGAUUUCGUUGACUAUCCGGGUCGAUUUUUCGAGUCAGAGACGUGGAAAUUACUGCCCGCCGACUGCUUGGGCCUCAAGACAAUAGCCGUCGCCGCCGCCGCGGCCUAUAAGGCGGCGACCAUGGCGAGCCAUCCGGCAUCGCUGAAACCAGGCUGGCCGCCAUGGACGGAGGGGAGCUCAAGCUCUACGGCAUGUGGGGGAGCCCCUUCGUGCUGCGAGUCCGGCUCGCCCUCAAGCUCAAGGGCCUGGACUACGAGUACGUGGAGGAGGACCUGUCCAACAAGAGCGCCGCCCUCCUCCGCCUCAACCCUGUGCACAAGAAGGUCCCCGUCCUCCUCCACGGCGGCCGCCCCAUCGCCGAAUCGGCCGUCAUCCUCGAGUACAUCGACGAGACGUGGCCCCAGAGGUUCCCCCUGAUGCCCGCCGAUCCCCGCGAGAGGGCCGCCGUGCGCUUUUGGUGCCACUUCACCAGCGAAAAGGUCAGCCGGAACUCUGCCGGGGGAUCGCGCCUCACCAUUACCCGUCCUUGCUCCUCACCUCUCGCUGCUCCUACAGAUGUUUCCCUCGAUUGCGGCGAUCUUCCACUCCACCGGCGAGGCGCAGAGUGUGGCCAUCGCCGAAGCGCGGGAGAAUAUGAAGCAGCUUGAAGAUGAGCUCCGAGAGGGCUUCUUCCGAGGGAGGAGAUUCUUCGGUGGUGAGAAGCUGGGCUUCCUGGAUAUCGUCCUCGGCUGCGAUGUGCACUUGUUCCGCGUCGUCGCAGAGGUGACCGAAGCCGACCUCGACAAGGACUUCCCCACCUUCGCCCAGUGGUUUCAGGACUUCCAAGCCCAGCCUGAGGCCCAGGAAGUGCUUCCCCCUUUCGACAAGCUGGUCGACUUCCUCCACGCCCACCGCCGGAAGGUACUGGGUCAAGCUUAGGAAGACGACUUUCUGUAAACUCUCCAGUCAGCUCGUGCAAUAAGGAGAGGGGAGAGGGGAGAGGAGAGAGGAGAGAGAGAGAGAAAGAAUUAUGUUACGUAUGAAUCGAUUUCAAUUAAUAUAUUAAAUAAUAAAUUAUCAGUAGUCUAAAGAGUUUAAUGACUAAUUUACCCCAAAAUUAUGGCAGAACAGCCACAUAACUCAUAAUCAUUAGUUUGUUGUUAUAAAUUUAAGAUUAGAUGGUGUGAAAAAAAAAGUCCAGAGUGAUCCAUUAAUAAUAAUAUUUUAAAAUUGGCGUGUUUAGUCCGGUUCCCUACGAUUUCGGAGAACCGGUUCGGAUUGAGAAAACCGCCCCCGGAUCGGGAUAGUGCGACCGGCGGUCCGGUGACUGGUCGUAUUAGAUCAGCGAAAUCCAUUCCAUUUCUUCUCCCCCUGAAUCUUCUCCCCUUGCGUUUCGGCAGACGCAGUGGUGCUGGAGUUCAACCAGUACACGGAGGGCUCGUGGUGGAGAAGAGAGAUCCUCAGUCGGAAGGAUCACCGGGAAGACGGGAGCGAGGCGGAGGGCUUCUACGGCGGGGUCAGGAAGCUCCGCCGAGACGACGAGAUCGCCGCCUGGAGGCGGCGCUGGCCGACCGGCGUGUUGGACUGAUUGGCCCUCGGCAUCCUCUUCUGUUUUCUUUGCUCUUUUGGGCUGACCUCAUCGAAGACAGCAGCUUCGGCCGUAGGUUUUCAUGGAAAAGCCCGCAGCUUUCGUCCGUAAAAAUUCCUCUAAUAUAUUAUAUCACACCUCCGUACAAGGAGUCCGAUGAACAGGCACGCAGAACUCAUCCGCCGAUUGAAUUUCGCUAGAUUAGAUUGAAGCCCAGAAGCGGGUUUUUAAGAAUGUGCAUUCCAUUUUGAGGAAUUUUCUUGAUUUAGAGGUGUUUUUUACGAGCUUAGAUCUGGCAAAAAAUUAACUCCGGAAUCCGUUCCUUGAUUUCGUCAACUUUUGCGGCACCGGGGUCUACCUCAGACUACUCUGCAACUAUGGGUUCGAUUAUCCAGUCAGAGACGCGGAAAUUACUCCUCGUCGACUGCUUGGGCCUCAAGACAGGAGCCACCGCCGCCACCUAUAAGGCGGCGACCAUGGCGAGCCAUCCGGCAUCGCUGAAACCAGGCUGGCCGCCAUGGACGGAGGGGAGCUCAAGCUCUACGGCAUGUGGGCGAGCCCCUACGUGCUGCGAGUCCGGCUCGCCCUCAAGCUCAAGGGCCUGGACUACGAGUACGUGGAGGAGGACCUAUCCAACAAGAGCGCCGCCCUCCUCCGCCUCAACCCUGUGCACAAGAAGGUCCCCGUCCUCCUCCACGGCGGCCGCCCCAUCGCCGAAUCGGCCGUCAUCCUCGAGUACAUCGACGAGACGUGGCCCCAGAGAUUCCCGCUGAUGCCCGCCGAUCCCCGCGAGAGGGCCGCCGUGCGCUUCUGGUCCCACUUCGCCGUCAACAAGGUCGGCCAGAACUCCGGGGAGAUAUCCAUCCCCACUCCUCAGCCAUUCCUUUUGUCAAUUCUCCUUGCUCUUGCAGUUGGGUCCCUCGGUGACGGCGAUCUUCCGCUCCACCGGCGAGGGGCAGAGGGCGGCCGUCGCCGAAGCGCGGGAGAAUAUGAAGCUGCUGGACGAUGAGCUCUCGGAGGGGCUCUUCCGGGGGAGGAAGUUCUUCGGCGGGGAGAAGCUGGGCUUCCUGGACAUCGUUCUCGGCUGCGGGUCGCACUGGCUCCGCGGCGUUGAAGAGGUGGCCGGAGAGGACAUCGGCGAGGACUUCCCCUCAUUCACCCGCUGGCUUCGAGAGUUCGAAGCUCAGCCGGAGGUCCAGGAACUGCUUCCCCCUUCCGACAGGCUGCUCGACUACGUCCGCGGCGUCCGCCAAUUGCUACUGAAUCAGUCUUAGGAAGACGACUUCUGCCUGCUCUCCAGUCAGCCCAUGGAAUAAGGAGAGAAGAGCGAGAGCGAGAGAGAGAGAGAGAGAGAGAGGAUCGUGUUUCCAGGGACUGGUAUAAAUCAAUCUUUAGUAUUAACUAAUCUAGUAUUAGGCGUUCCGUCUCGGUCGAGUAAAGAGCUUAAUGACUACUUCACUAUUAUAAUUCUCAGAUCGGAUCAUGAAGAAAAUAAAGUCGGCGCUAUAAGGAGAGAAGACAUCGCUGUGUUACCCGGGACUGGUAUAAAACUAUUUUAAAUGAAUGCAUUAAGUAAUUAUAUCUACCGCGUAAAUAACUUAAUGACCACUUUACCUAUAAAACCGCAAGGAAUUAGCUUAAGAUAGAUCCUUCUUGGUGCCACCUGACGAGAAUCGAAAUUGCCCUCUGUCCCUGAACUCUCCAUCCGAUGGAGUUUUCAUGAUUUCUCACUAUCCGUGGGUGGCUAGUAAUACGGCGUUGUAAGUCACCCAUGCUCCUACGACGGAAACAAGCUCCAGUAUCACUGUUAAGAUUAAAAAUUUAGGGUUUAAGGUUUAAAAUUUAGGGUUGGUGAAGUACUAAUUCUUCAAUAUGCAAAACCCAUCCGGGCCAUCAGUAACAUCAGGAAGAUGUGAACGAGGCGGAGAGCUUCUACGGCAGGGCCAGGGAGCUCCGCCGCGACGACGAGAUCAUCCCAAGCAGUCCGCCGCUUCCCUCUUCUUCUCCUCCCCUCGUUCUGAGUUCGCUGUGCGAUCGGUUGGCGGGAGGAUGACGCCUGGAGUGUCACCGUCCUGCGUGGAGUCGUGGGCUUCGUGGGGUGACGAUAAGAGGGGGACGUCGUUAUCGUGCUGAAUAAGUGCAAGUGUGGAGCGAUAGAUAUCCUGACUGCUUCGGUAGUGCUAUGGAAGUCGUGGACGACGUGGGCGACGUGCAGACGUGCAGCUUCGGCCGUAGGCUUCCGUGGAAAAAGCCGCAGCUUUCGAGUGUAAAGAUCCCUGUAAUGAUAUUAUAUCACACCUCCGCACGACGAGCCCGGUGAGUGAAUUUCGUGAGAUUAAUUAUUUUUAUUCCCGUUCAAAUAUGAUCCCAGAAGCGGGUUUUUAAGGAUGUUCGUUCCCUUUUGAGGAAUUUUCUUGAUUUCGAGGUGUUUUCUACGAGCUUAGAUCCGGCGAAAAUUAACUCUGGGGAUCCGUUCCGUGAUUUCGUUGCCCAUCGACUGCUUGGGCCUCAAGAUAACAGCCGUCGCCGCCGCCGCGGCCUAUAAGGCGGCGACCAUGGCGAGCCAUCCGGCGUCGCUGAAACCAGGCUGGCCGCCAUGGAUGGAGGGGAGCUCAAGCUCUACGGCUUGUGGGCAAGCCCCUUCGUGCAGCGAGUCCGACUCGCCCUCAAGCUCAAGGGCCUGGACUACGAGUACGUGGAGGAGGACCUGUCCAACAAGAGCGCCGCCCUCCUCCGCCUCAACCCUGUGCACAAGAAGGUCCCCGUCCUCCUCCACGGCGGCCGCCCCAUCGCCGAAUCGGCCGUCAUCCUCGAGUACAUCGACGAAACGUGGCCCCAAAGGUUCCCCCUGAUGCCCGUCGAUCCCCGCGAGAGGGCCGCCGUGCGCUUCUGGUGCCACUUCACCGGGGAGAAGGUCAGCCGGAACUCUGCCGGGGGAUCGCGUCUCACCAUUACCCGUCCUUGCUCCUCACCUCUCGCUGCUCCUGCAGAUGUUUCCCGCGGCAGUUGCGAUCAUCAGCCCGGGCGACGAGACGCAGAGGGCGGCCGUCGGCGAGGCCCGGGAUAAUCUGAAGCAGCUUGAAGAUGAGCUCCGAGAGGGCUUCUUCCGAGGGAGGAGAUUCUUCGGUGGUGAGAAGCUGGGCUUCCUGGACAUCGUCCUCGGCUGCGAGAUGCACCUGCUCCGCGCCGCCGCAGAGGUGGCCGGAGCCGACCUCGGCGAGGACUUCCCCACCUUCGCCCAGUGGUUUCAGGACUUCCAAGCCCAGCCGGAGGCCCAGGAAGUGCUUCCCCCUUUGGACAGGCAGGUUGACUUCAUCCGCGACUACCGCCGGAACGUACUGGGUCAAGCUUAGGAAGACGACUUUCUGUAAACUCUCCAGUCAGCUCGUGCAAUAAGGAGAGGGGAGAGGAGAGAGAGAGAGAAUUGUGUUACGUAUGAAUCGAUUUCAAUUAAUAUAUUAAAUAAUAAAUUAUCAGUAGUCUAAAGAGUUUAAUGACUAAUUUACCCCAAAAUUAUGGCAGAACAGCCACAUAACUCAUAAUCAUUAGUUUGUUGUUAUAAAUUUAAGAGCAGAUGGUGUGAAAAAAAAAGUCCAGAGUGAUCCAUUAAUAAUAAUAGUUUAAAAUUGGCGUGUUUAGUCCUGUUCCCUACGAUUUGGGAGAACCGGUUCGGAUUGAGAAAACCGCCCCGGAUCGGGAUAGUGCGACCGGCGGUCCGGUGACUGGUCGUAUUAGAUCGGGGACGACGGAGCAGUGUAGACUUUCUGUUGUCUGCUCGCCGCGGAAACCCUAUCUGCACCGUGAGACUCAGCGGCGCCGCCCUCCUACGCCGCGAGGGCCUGGCUCGGCCGCCGGUGACUGUUCGUGUGCUGGGACAUGGCUGGACGAGGUCGUAUGCCCUCCCGGCACGCCUUUCAUGAUGGCAGUCGGCGUGCGCCUUACCCCGACGUACACGACGGCAAUCCCUUCCCGCGCGGGGGGCCGCCGCCUCCUCGACCGCCUCCACCGGCGGUAUACGAGGAGGAGAUCGAAUUCCAGAUGGGGGAGAUCCGGAGGCUCGUUGGGGAUAACCGCAGGCUUGCCGACAAUUGCGCAGGCCUGCAACGGGAGUUGGCCAUGGCCAAGGAGGAGAUCCACCGCUUAAACAUCUUUAUCCAAGAUGUUCGGGCUGAUAAGGAUGCACAGAUUAGGGAUCUGAUAGAGAAGGGCAUGAAAAUGGAGGCUGACCUCCGUGCGGCAGAGCCCCUUCGGAACGAAGUGGCACAGCUUCGUGCUGAUCUUCAGAAGCUAAAAUCUAUACGGCAGGAACAGGUGCAGGGGCUGACGCAGGAGCUCUCAAGGUCUCAGGCCGAUGCUAAGCAGGCGCAUGCCCUUAAGGGCGAGAUCGAUGUUCUAAGGCAGGAGCUCAUGCGUGUCAGGUCACACCGACUUCGUUUAUAUCGUCUCCUUCUCGUCAUUGACUUGUCUACUUCUUAUUCCGGUUCACGUGUAAAAUUGACGGUAUUUCAUUUAUUUUUUUCAGGACCGCAUUGGAGUAUGAGAAGAAGGGGAAUGCAGAACUGGUCGACCAGAGGCAGGCAAUGGAGAAGAAUUUGGUUUCUAUGGCUCGCGAGCUUGAGAAGCUGCGUGCAGAACUAGCAAGUGGCGAACCUAGAAACUGGGGUGCAGGUGCCUUGUUAUAUUUCUAAACCUCGUUUCUGAUCUCCAACUUUUUUUUGUUUCGAUGACCGUGAUUAUUUUAAAGUCUAUGGGGUAAGGUUGAUUUUGAUUACAAUACUCUGCUUUAAAGUACACCGUGUUAUCCGCAAAUCCGUUCUGAGUCGUCUCUAUUACCGCAUCCAACGAGCUGAUAACAUUACUUAUUUUCACUUAAUGGACUUAUCUGAUGCAUAGAUUAUUCUAGUAGCUAAUAUCGUGUGUCACCGAGACCUGACAAUGUUAAUUGAUUUUCGAAGGUGGAGCUUACGGAGUAAAACUCAACAGUCCUGAAGGGGGCUUUCCUCCAUAUGGUGAUGGAUAUGGUCUUCACUCGGUAUGGCUCAAAAUUUUAGGGCGGUAGUAAUCGCUCAUGAGUCCGAAUGACAGUGACUAGGUGGCUUGCUCUUGUUUGAGGAUUUAAUUCAUUUAGUUUAUCUCUCAAUUACUUCUCAGGGUGCCGCAGAUAAAGGUCCUCUAUACGGCAUGGGCCAAGGCUCUUGGGGAGGAUACGAGAAGCCUCGCCUUCCUAGACGCUGAUGUGUGAUGAGAUUAUCGCUUGCAUCACAGUGAUCAUGCAUUUUCGAUAUUGGUGUCUCGACUACAUUGAAGGGUUAGAUGUUUAAGGCUCCUCAAGUGGUGCAACGUGCUAUAACAAAAUCAUAGGACUUACAGCAUCAGUUGCUUUUUCAUGAAUGAUGUUUCAUCUUUCUGUUUAAAUAUCCAGACUAGUUCCUUGAAAUUGUCAUUUUAUGGCAGUAUGGUUUAGGAUUGAGUUGAAUUACGAUCUGGAAAUUCACAGCAGCAGUUGUGACAUCCUUUUCAUGUCACAAGAUGCAGAUUGAUUCCUGAUGAUGAUGAGAUAAUUUGCCUUCCAUAUUCCAGAUGUCUGUGGUGGAAAUUUCUUACACUUUGUUCAUAUAUUAUUUUGUGCUAAGCUUAACAUAGGGUUUGUACUACGUAUUAUCACACCUCAUUUAUAAGAAACCAAUGCGUCCAGCAAGUGUGAGCUACUAAUGUUCCUUUGGCAUGGUUAGGGAUGCUCUACAUAAAUCGGAUCAUCCUGCAGGAUGUUUAAUAGCAUCGGAAUCGCAGGGAACAACAGGAGUGGUGACUUGGAUUAGAUUAGAUGUCAUAUACUUUAUAUUGCUACUACUAACAUACUUUCUUUCAUUACAGUGUCGUACACUGAUGAAGUGUUUGUGUAAUAAUACUCUGAUGAUGCACCAUGCUCUGGGAAUACAUGGGUGCAUUCUUAUCAGUUGUCAAUGUUCUGAUCAUGCUUUAGGUACUAUCUUGGAAGUUUGAGGGGAAGCGACACACCCACUGUAUUGUCAGUUCCAAUAUAAUGAAGAGGUGAGUUAUUUCACAGUGGCAAAAUCACUUGAAUUGUCAAGUGAUUUUAUUUUGGGCUUUUGUAACAAUGUGGAACAUGGUAUACAAUACGUUCAUUAGAAGUUGAACUUUAUACUUCAUUUAGGUGAAAGUGAGAUGCUUCGGGCCUCGUAUCCUUGGUGAUUUGAUUCCAAUCAACACCGAUCCGAGGACUAAAAACGGAUAUCAGUUUGGUUUCCAUAACUUUGUAGUUUUGUUCUGUACCAUAGAUGGUUUCAACCAGAUAACUUUGUCGGACGUUGUUGCGUCUUUUUCCUGGGAGAGAGCUCUUUUCUAGUUAUAUGGUAGUGGAUCCUUCUCAGUAUUAGAUGAUUGUAUGGAAAAUGGGUCAGAUGCUUCUUUGCUUUGGAUGUGGAAAGCAUUUGAAUAUGAUGAUAAAUAUUUUUUGCUGCUACCCGCCACAUGUAUCCGAAGUUGAAGGGAAUGGUGAUCCCCCUUUUGUAGUCCUUAUGAUUCAUGUAGAGACGAAUCUUCAUGAAGGUAAUUAUUUGGCGGAUGUUCUGGCUUGAUAUGGCCAUUUGGUUUUGAGUUGUGUUCCAUAUCGCGUUAUUUCAUCAGGUGUCUUAGAUCUGAUUGUGUGUAUGAGAAAAAACUAUCAGACGGGUUUUGUCAGUGUAAUUUUUUCCUCUUUCAGAAACGUAUAAUGAAUUGCCCUUUUGAGUUGGGUUUCGUAGCGCAGCAGAUGAUAAUUAGCUGAUUCUUAUGGUAUCUUUUCACUUCUUCCAGCCUGGACUUAUGGCCAAAGUGUUACCAAAAGGGUAACUUGUUAUGGGUAUGCUUGAGUUGCUAUUUCCCUAGAUAUGGACUUCUGCUAUGUGUUAGAUCUCUGCUGUGAAAAUAGCUUUAGGUUGUACAAAUGCUGCUGUUGCAUUGACAGUGAGAGUAUAUUCCCUGGUUCUGUUGCUGACUGCUAUCUGAUUAGCUCCAUUUUCACACUAUGACUACUUCGGAAUAUCCAUUAGGUUGUUAACUUUUGUUUAAUGUAAUGGGUGGAUUAUGCUUACUUUGUGGUGAUGACUAAUCAUGCCUGCUCUUAUUAGCGGCUUGAGAAUGGAUAGGUCACCGCUCAUCGUGAGUUUUUCAUUUUUGUUUAGCUUAACACCAUUGCCUGUUGACUGUUUCGUAUAAAGGGGAUGGAGAUGUUGCAAGGACGGUGAAGCAUGCCUCCUCUUAUAAGCGAUAUUACUAUUCUUACUUUCCUACAAUAAAAUUGUUUUGACCUCUGGGAUAUUAUACUGUUUCUGUGUUUUCUUUAGGUUCAGGGAAACUUAUUAGUUUGCCUGUAUUGUUACUAUAGUUUCAGUUGAGCUUGAUCUCUCCCGGGUAUCAGUAAAAAUAGAAUUUUUGGAUCCUUUGUGACGUGAUGGAAAAGAAAAUGAUGGACCUGUCUAUUUAUUGGCUGCUUGAUGCCGUCAUUUAACACUCUAGCUGAGGCAUACCAUGCUGACACCUGGUGGUUGGCAUGCUUUAAACGUCCACGUGCCCUUCCCGUGGUCACUGAAAGCCUUUGAGCUUUGCCUAGGAGUGUCCUUUUCUGUACGUCCCAAUAAUCUUUGUCAUUUGUUUGACCGUUUUGUUCCAUAACUCCAUCACCUAUACGAAAACAAUUAUCCUGCACGAGUGACGACGAGUUGGUGUAUCAGAAGAUGAUGGAGAGGCUACAUGCAAGAAGGAUUGAUCACUUGUAGCGAGAAUAACAGAGGCAAGUGACUUUCCGUUUCUGUCGUAAAGGUUCCUGUUUGAUGAGGCAUUCAUUGUGAAGUGCGUGGGUUUUACAUACAAUGUAUUUAAAUAUUUCUUUUUUUUACUGCUUACGGGCUCAUCAUCUUUAGACAUUGAGUCAUAGUGAGGCAACUGUUUUUCGUCAACUUUGCAGUUCGUCCUUCUGGUUGUCUGGAUCGUUUGGAGUCGCGAGUAUACCAGUUUUCCUAUUUAUAGGAUUCUUGCAAUGUGCAUCUUAUCUUAGAGCAAUCAAGGAAAUAUCACAUAAUUGAGGUCAAAAUUGUUGUUAAGGACAUUUCUUAUUUUUGUCACUUUGAUGAAAAAGUUGGAUCCUGGUUGAUGUGACGGUUGAUGAUUUGAAACGGGCAAGAUGCGUGGAAACUAGGUGUAGUAUUAAUGGCAAUCUUUACGGCUGGAUUAAAAGGAUGUAGGUAUGAGUCGUGGACAUAUCUUGGACACUUUUUGGAGAAUAUUGUCUGCCAAAUGGAGAUGGAUGGUAAUGAAGUGAUAUAGGGCUAGGCACAUAUUUUUAUUCUAGAUUUCUACUUUCAGUGAUGACAGGUGAAUUUUUCUGCAUGAAACAUGAGUUCUGCCAGCUAUCAUCCUGAAGGAACUCUAUAUCCCUUUGUCUGUAGGAGGAUACACUACAUAUAGAUAGUGAGACAGGGGAUCAGGAUAACUGCCAUUUAUCAAGGAGAUUUUGAAUUGUUUGUCAACAUUUUCUUAUCAUCGCCUCUCUAAAUGUUGCGGGGAAUACUAUGGAGGAAACGAGAAAUUAUUUCCUUUUUUUUCAUUUUGUGUGAUUGGAUAGCCGAGACAUUUGUAAUUUGAUCGGCUGAAUAGUGGGAAAAUAUCCCUUAUUCUUUAUAUCAUUGACUGGUGAAGUGCGUUGUUACUCGUGUUGCUUCAUUUUAGAUGUCGGUGCUUAUAAGUGAGAAGACAGUCCAUCAUCCAUCCAGGGAUUAUUUGACUGCGUAGUAGUUUCAAUUACAACAUUUUCUCACGGCAUAAGGAUACUGGAUAUGAUGCGCUCUAUUUGCAUCACUUGUAGGAUUUUCUUGAAGGUUCUAUCUUGCAGCAGGUUGAUCUGUAUUGAAGCUGGGGACUGGGGUUUAUUAGUCUUGGGGGGAUGACUAAGGUUUUUUUCUAGGAAAUGACUUACAUUGGACGAUUUUAAUUUUUUUGGUUGAAAGGAGGAAGUGGUUCAUACAAUUAGUGAAGCUCGGGAGUUUGUUAGUAGCAGUACCCACUUGUUUUCUAAGUUUUCUGGACGUACAUUUAGGACGGGGUUCCAAUGACCUAUAGGGACAAUAAUGCAUCCGAUAGUCUCUUUUCUCUAAGAAAUUCCGGUGGAUUAUAUUAUGAAGAGGUGUGUUCAUAUUAGAUAUAAUAAAUGAUGUUGAAAUCAGGUGUGGAUUUCUGGAUAAAUAAGUCCUGCGAAAUUCUUCUGUUGGUAAUAAAUGAGGUCUCUGUAGUUCCUGUGGAUGAUCCUCGUGCACUGGCAUCUCUCCUGCGUGAAUGACGUGGUUUAGUGCUUUCCCCUAGAAAUCCUGUGGUCAGUCAUAUUUUAUAUAAAUGAGAAGGUGCGCAUUCGUUUCUUGAACGUUUUUGACAACCAAUCAUUAAUCCAAGAGCGCAUUUCUCUUUGAACCAACCUCACAUUUGUUGUUGAUUUUUACAUAUCUGUAAUCCUUCAUCGAUAAUAUUCUAGAAUUUUUAUUUUUUCUGAGGUUUACUAACUAACAUCUUUUUGUACUGUCAUUCGCUUCUUGUAAAUCUACAAAACCUAUUCAGAGGUUACUCUUUCUUACCGUAGAUGUAUUAAUAAUCCUCUGUUAUGAUAUCUAAAUUGUCCAUUUUCAUUUUCUGUGGAGUAUUAAUCACCCUUGUCUAUAAGUUAGUCAUAAGAUUAAUUUAUUUAAUACCCCUGCAUUAGCAAAACUUUGACCAUGCUCUUUAUCCUUGUUCAAUGUUGUUCAAGUGCUUUAUUCUCCUGUUGUGCUCCUCUUACCCAAUAAUCGUUUGUGAUGAAUAUACGAUUUGGUAUCAUUUAUAUAUGCUAUGAACAUUAUUCCUAUGCUUCCUCUUUUGUCUCAAAUGCCUUGAACUAAUACAUAAACUGCUCAAGAUCAUUAUCAUUUCCGAAGUUAGAAUCUUCAUGACCUAGUAAAUUCUGUAAAAUACCAUAAGCAUUUUGAAAUGUUGAGGACCAUUAUUUUUCUUUAAUGAAAUUUUAGUCUUGCUUCUAAGAUUUUUCUUUGCGCUACAUUUUUUUCUUUCACUAGCGUCCCCAUGUCUGCUCUCAUAGGGUUUUAUGUUUCCAUCUCAUCUGUCUUUGCAUUCAUCGGUCGACAUUCUGUUAUGUACUUGAGACUUUUUUUAUCUGCCCUUUCAAAACCCACAUUUACCGUUCAUCCUCUGUUGGUUCAGCCUCAUUUCGCUACUUUUUCUCUACAAACCAUAUAAAUUUCUACAGAUCACUCGUUUAUAUUUGUUGAGGGGAAAGUCUAGUUGGCUCCUGUUUCAAUCCGUUUGUAAUCGAAGGUGUUCAAAUGAUCAUUUCGUUCUUGAAGAACGUAUUCGUUGCUGGAAACUAUGUACCAGCUGGGUAUCGAGAAUCAUUUUUCCAGUGUCAUUCUUCAUCGUUUGUCUCCGUUUUUGUUUUAAAAACAUAUUUAGCAUACUCUACUUCUCAUAAACACCAGUUUUUGUUUCAAACUGGGAGAUCACAAAUUCCUCGACUAGCUGUCGAUCUUCUAAUCUUUUUUUUCCUCUGUUCCUUAACAGUUUCCAUGUUUCGUGCCUCAUUGUUGUUCUGUUCACGUAAAAUGCUCUUGGUCCCUGUAAAAUUAUAUUUUUUACAGAGUCAAACUUAGACUUCUUCUAAUGCUCUGCCGCAGUAAAUCAGCUUAUCUUCUCUCUCUCUCUCUCUCUCUCUCGUCCAUUGACAGUUUCCAUAUUUUGCAGAGUGGAGGCCCCAGACAUGGGACGCACAGAAGAAUCACUUGAGAUCAUAAAACCUGCCGUUUUCACCCGGUCUGGAAACCCGCGCGAGCCAUCAUCUCACCCUUCUGGGGGGGGGUGCUGGCUCCCGCCGCCAAACUCUGGAAAUCAUUAAUAACCGGUCGUAUACCAUCUUUCAACUAUACUUGGAUUUCUAUUAUUGAGCCUUAUUUCAGACAGGUGGGCUUCGUAUUUCCUUCCUCGGCUCUGUCGGUUCGCACCUUCUUUUGGGAUUCGCUAACAGUCGUUGAGACUUUCCAUGAUUUACUCCUUUUGGAGCUCGCCCUCCGAGGAUGGCAUCUAAUCCGCCUGAUCCUUGUUCUUGCCGCAGAUUCCAACCGGCGGAUUCUUUCUGCAUCUGAUUCUGGUGCCUCCCUUUUGCCGAGGUUGGCGGAACACGCUGCCCGCUGUUUCACGAAGCAUGGCCCGUGCGGAGCAACGGCGACCUGUGUGGCUCGCCUUCCGCCGGCGGCACGCGGUCGCCGGAGUGAGGCGGCGGCGGCGAUGCGGCGAGUAUGGGUAAAUUUUCUGAGUGAAACCCAGAAAAACCCUGUCUUUUGCCCAGAAAAUAAUAUUCCGGGAAAGCUGCAGGACUCGACGGGAGCCUUUUCCGAGCGCUCGGCUUUAUCAACCGGAGAUGGGAAGGGUUCCAGCCUUCCAAAAGGGGGCCCCAUCGAGCAGGCUGCCGAGAUGCCGCACUUUCCGGUACUAGAAAUUGCUGCUCAGGCUACUUACAAGGGCGGUGCAGAGUCACACACUCUCUGACAGGAUGUCGGCCCUGAUGAGGCUGCGGCGCCAGGCUGGGGAAGACGAUGUACGGAUGAGCUCUGAGAACGCGAUGAGCAACGGCUCUUCUGCUCUGAUCUCCCCCAUGAUCGAGGUCGCCCUUUGCCGUCACUUCCUUAUGAUGUAAUUGACUCGAGAUUCAUAUAUUCAUUAAGAUUUCGACGUCUCUUCAGAGGAAAUAUUACCCACUUCCUGAUCUCAUCUGUCUAAUUCUGCGGCAGCGUGAUCAUAACCGUGAUGCCCCGCUCGCUCGCUUUGAAUGAACCUACUGAUCUCGAUGAUCUUCCUUUGACCAGAGAGUACGAUCAGGGGGAUGAAAUACAAAAAAUAAAAAUAAAAAUAAAUCCUAACUUGAACCUCGAAGGGAGGAUGGCGAACCCCAGAUGAUCCGGGUGCCAAAUCUCUCAACUGCAUGAAGCAGAGUGUUUUGAUAAGAUGAGCCCGUCGGAGGAGGAUUCAGCGCCAUUUCUUCAGCAGAAGAGAGUAGGCGCUAGCCCUGGCAGAGAGAACCCAAGACGUGGGGAUGUACAGACGCAAACGAAGGGGAAGAUCUGAGAACGAGAUGUUGAAUCCACGACCUCUAGAGAUUCUGCAACUCUCAGCACCUGUUCAUGUUCAGUUCAUCCUCUACCGACAAAGAGAAGACGCUAAUGGAGGGAGGGGCCGGCCAGAAUCCCGACGGAGGGAUGAAGCCCUUCCCUGGUUAAUCAAUCAGGAGCAUGCCGAGGGGAGCCGUGCUCUAAGGUCAAUCAAUCAUCGCCUGUUGGGAAAAGCGUCAGCAUCUUCCUCCCUCCUCCUGAAGCGGCCCCGGAAUCGGAGCCCUCUGCGUAUGACGGCCCCCGAGGAGAAGGCGCGAUCGGAGCUCCGCCGGGAGGGACCAUCAUCUGGGGGACUCCAGGCGGCUGCGGCGGCCGCGAGAGGUACCCGUGCUCGAAGCCUCCGCCGCGGGGAGAACCCAGGUGGCCCAUGUGCCUCUGAUGGAAGUACUGCUGCUGCUGCUGUUGCUGCUGCUGGUGCGCGGCGGCGGCGGCGGCGGCGACGGCGGCCAUCUGCUGGUGGUGCUGCAGGGCUGAAACGGGCACAAACGGCAUGAGCUGGUGGUCGGGGGCACAGACUCCUCCCCCCGGCACCAUCACGUUGGCGGGCGGAGCGCGGCUGAGGAAGUGGCGCGGCACGGGGCCGCUGGCGAAGAGGCGGUCUGUGGCGGCGUCGACGGCUGAGACGGGGCCGCCAGCCCCGGCGCCGCCGCCGGGGGAUGAGAGGCCCUGCACCCGCUUGAGGUAGAGUCGGUACUUCUGGAGGUGGCUGGCGACGUUCUCCCUGGUGAGGCCCUCCACGUUCAUCAGCUGCAUUAUGGUCUUGGGGACGGCGUUCUUGAUCCCCAGAUGAGCGACGGCGUCGACGAACCGCUUGUGCAGCUGCGGCGUCCACACCAGCCGCGGCCUCUUCAGCGUGCGGGCCGGCUCCUCCCCGGGGUUCAUGCUGCCGGCCCCGGCGCCGCCACCGCCGCCCAGCUCCUGCGGGUCGAAGUCCGGCGGCGGCUGGUGAACGGAGGGAUGCAGGGAUUGAGUCUCCUGGUGAAGGUGAAGGGCGGACAGGAGGUGGGGAGAAGUCGACGGCUGCUGCGGGUGGAGAUGGGAGGCCUGGUUAGGGUUGUCGGCGUGGGCCGUGGGGCUGGAGGGGCUGGUGGGGGUGGUGGAGAUGUCGAAUGCCUGGGCGAGGUCCGGCGUAAUUAGGGAUUGAGAGAUCGGCAUGAGCUCCUCCGGGGUGGGGAGCUCCUCCUCCCAUCGGGCAAACCAGUUGGACUCCUCCUCCCUCAUUCCCCACCCUCGGCCCUCUCUCCCUCCCUCCCUCUCCCUCGAUCGGCCCUGCUCCUUCCUCCACAGCUCCAAGAAACGACAGCAACUACUGGACGCUGCUCCCUCUGUGCAGCAAGCCGGUGGAACAAGGGCUAGCACCGGAAGAACAAGAACAAGAACAAGAACAAGAACAAGAAGAACAAGAACAAGAACAAGCGAAGGUGAGCUUCAGCAGGACGAUGGUGGAAGCUGCCGCAGUAGGCAUCUGGGUUUUUCCUUUUGCCGGAGGCGGAGAGGGGUUCGAGGUGGAUCCCCUUCUUUCGUCCCUUCUCUCUCUAUCUUUUUCUCUCCUGCCUCCCCCCUCCCUCUUCCCCUGCCCCUCCUCUAUUCCUCUCCUCUCCCACGCGCGCACCUGCACCAAGCGUGGUCAUGCGAUUCCCAUUAGCGGAUCAAUAAAGAACUCCAGCAAAAAUCUGCCCUUUAAGAGGGCUCGCUGCUCCCCCCCCCCUAAGACUUCCAGAGCUAGAGAGAGAAAGGGAGAGAACUCCGCCCCCCCCCCACCCCAUCGUCCUCCUCACAGCGGGCCUCCCCGCUGUUGGGAAGCCGGUGGACUUUUCCGAGGCAGAUCGCAGUUCACUGAUCUGCUCCGCGUCGGGUGGGCGUAAUUACAGAUUCGGACUCCCCCCCACCUCCUCCCCGCCGUCCUCCGCCGCCUCGUGGCCGCCGUGAGAUCUCCCCGGCCCCCUCGCCGGGCAGUUUUUUGUCGUCUACCCUGCGGACAACCGGCUCCGGAGGGGACCGGUGAUGACGACGCAGCGGAUGAACUGCGGACGACGGAGCUGGUCAAUGAUUGGCUCCCCCCCAAGCCGUCCGAUCCGCCACCGACGGCCGCGAUGCCCCGCCGGCCCGGGUCAUGAUACCUAUCGAUAAACUUAAUCGGUCCGCGGGGGAUAAUUAAUGGGGGGGAUCCGGAUUAGGACGCGAGAUCGUGCUGCGGCCGCGCCGAACGCCGCCACCAAUUUUCGCGUAAUAAUCACUCGUUAAAAUAAUCCUCCCUGCCACGUGUCCGGAUUCCGACAGCUUGCAGCGGAUGGAUGGGUACGACCACUUCCUUGCUUCUUGAGGAAUCCAACUCUGAAUCACAUCCGCUUUCUCCCCCUCCAACGGACGGACGCACAGAAACAGAGAUAAAGAGAGAGAAAGGAACAGAGAGAGAGAGAGGAGGGUGGGGCACAUGCACCGUCAGGAGGAGAGUCCCGCAAGCAAGCGCCUAGCAGGGCGAGAAGCUGGGGCUCUCUUUGGCCCCCCAGAGAGAGAUAGAGAUAGAGAGGGCAGAGAGAGAGAGCAGACAGAGAGAGAGNNNNNNNNNNNNNNNNNNNNGAGAGAGAGAGAGGGGAGAGAGAUUCUUUCUCUUGUCGCUGCGGACGCGAGUUGCAGAGUUCUCCCUCGCCGUAAGAAGCCAUGAACAGGGGGGACCUCCUUAAUUACUCAUCUCUCUCUCUCUCUCUAGAUCUCCGUCGGCAUAUCUCCCGUCAAGCAUGUCUCUCUCUCUCUCUCUCUCUCUAGAUCUCCGUCGGCAUAUCUCCCGUCAAGCAUGUCUCUCUCUCUCUCUCUCUCGUGGGAGUCCAUAAAGACAACGUGACGCAACACUGAGCAAUAACUGCGGUGGGGUGAGCGGUCAGAUUCGCGCUCCUGCGCGCCGCCCUGGACGGCCCGACUGGGUCGACGGUGACGUCACAUCCCCCUUCUGCUGCUGUCGUAGAGAAGUCAACAUACGCAGCAACCAGUUUUAAGCCGGAUUUCGGACGAGGAAAUUGUAAUCCAGGAGGAUGCCACGUCAUCUUGUCUCGUGCACCUCGUUUGGGCCCAAUUGGGCCAUCUUUCGAUAUAUUGGGCCCCAAACGGUCCCGUCGGUGGUGGAUCAUCCGAUGCGCCAUCAUGAUGCCACCCGUAGGUCAACGCUCUUCUACCUAUCUAUAUACCUGUCGCCUCUGUAGCUGCCCCACGCGGAGCUGCCCAGCGUUCGGGAUCGGUGUACCCCGCCGACGGUGACGCGCACGUCGGCUCGCAGCUAUUCUGUCUGACCGAUCGUUUGUCUGGCGCCGCCGCUGCCGCCAUAAGGGAUGCCUUCCAGCGGCUUCUUCGCCGCCGUCCUUCUCGGGGGAGUUGUAAAUUCCGGCAUCUCUCCCUCUACUCAGAGACGCGGCUAGCUCCGGCGGGGAAGACAUGGAGGUCCGUUUGCUGAGCUCCACAGCCGUCGACGGCGGCGGGUCCCCCGGUGGGCCUUCCGCCACCCCGCUCACCGUCUUCGACAAGGUCGCCGCCGACAUGCACGUAGCCGUGCUCUUCGCCUUCGCCGCCCCUACGGCGACGAACGCUCAGAUCAAGGACGGCCUUGCGAAGACGCUCGCGCACUUCUACACCUUCGCCGGCCGGCUGGGAACCGACGAGCUCCAUCGCCCGUGUAUCCUCGCCGGCGGCGCCGGCGACGGGGCUCUGCUGGUGGAGGCGGCGGUGGAGUCGGAGCUGGCGGAGCAUAUCCCGCUGAAGCCCUCGCCAGACCUUCAGAAGUUGCACCCUCCGACGGAGGGAGCCGUCCACGCGCUGCAGAUCCAGCUGAACCGCUUUCGCUGCGGCGGGCUGGUGAUCGGAGUGACGUGCCACCACCGGGUCGCCGACGGGCAGUCCAUGAGCACCUUCUACGCCGCUUGGGGACGAGCAGUGAGGGGACUCACCGUCCACCCUCUCCCUCUUUACGACUGCCGGCGGUGGGUGCAACCUCGCUGCCCUCCCAGAAGCGAGUUCAUACCUCCGGGAGAGGCCCAUGAUGACGGUCCUCAUCCGCCGCCGGCGGCCGGGGACGAGGACGUCCACAACGUGUCCCUCCGCUACUCAAGCGAGUUCAUAGCGAAGGCGCUGAAAGCCCAGACGGUGGAGAAGUACACCACCUUCGAGAUCCUGCUAGCUCACCUGUGGAGGAAGAUAACCAUGGCCAGGGGGCUCAACGGGGAAGAGUUCACCCAAGUGAGGGUCGCCGUCGACGGCAGGCGGCGGUUGAACCCGCCGGUGCCGGCGGAGUUCACUGGGAACAUGGUCCUCAACGCUUACCCCCGGGCCAGAGCGAAGGAACUGUUGGAGGGGGGCCUCGAUGGGGCGGCGGCGGUGAUCCGCGCCGCCAUUCGCCGGAUGGGGGAGGAGUACUUCCGUUCCUUCGUGGACUUCUGGGAGAUUCACGAGCAACUCAACGACGAGAAGGAGAUGGCGCUGUACCCAGAUCUGGAGGUCAACAGCUGGCUAGGGUUCCGCUUCAGUGACAUGGAGUUCGGGGGCGGCGACGGCGGCGUGUGCGCCUUCGCGCCAUCCUGGAUUCCCGCAGAAGGCGUCCUCGUAUUCAUCCCCCCCAGGGAGGGAGACGGAGGAGGGGUUGACGUCGUCGUCACCCUGUUCGAAUCCCACGCAAAUCUACUGCAACAGAUAUCCCAUUCCGUGGACUAAGGGCCCUAUUUGACCAUAAAUAGUAAAUAAGUUUCGACGUCAGGUCAAUGCCGUCGAUCAUGGCUUGUGCAUAGUGAUUUGUUUCCAAAAACCAUGAGGAAUAAAUGCAUUCAAAUUGAUUGGAAAGAGUUAUCCGUCCAAUGAAAUUAAUGAACCCAACACACAUAAUGAGCAGAUCAGCGCUCUGCUCUCUCUCUCUCUCUCUCUCUCUCUCUCUCUCUCUAUCUCUCAGAUUGCUGGCGACGACGAUGAUGAUGAGGGCACUGCUUCGAGUAGCUUCAUCGCAGGGGGGUGGAGAGCCACGGCGCCGAGCCGAGGGCUCGAGUAUUUCUUGUACACGGCCUUCAGCUUGUUCUCCGGCGCCGACGAAUGGAGCUCCACCAGCAGCCGCGCGCAUUCUCGGAGCUCUGCCUCGGAGAAGCCGGCGUGCCUCCUGAGUGUCUCGCUCCAGAGCGGGGUCGCUUUGUUGAGGGUGCACCGAGCUGCGUAAACCGCGGCGGCGGCCACCAUCGACGGGCAGUAGGGGAUCGUCGACGAGUACUGCACCAACCCCAGCUCGGCGAAGAAGAAGGUCAAGUUCUCCAUCUGCGUCCAGAGUGAGGAAACAGCUCAUCCGAUUAGUACGGAUUCAUUCAGCUGGAAGAAGAAAACAGACGGAGAGGAUCCCACCUCCGGAACCUCCGAGAGGGCCGCUGCCUUGAGGAAGCGCACGAGAAACACGUAUGGAGUGGGAACAGUUAGAUUCCACUCCAGCUUGUCGAGAAUCGCCUUCUCCUUGCCCAGAAUCUGCUCUCUUCCAUACGCAUUAUCCGAUAUGCAGAUGAAAUCGUUGAUCUGAUAAGAAGAAACAUGUCAGGCGCCGAGAUUCUUCAACCAAUAAUUCCUCUUAUGGAGGGAAAAAAUAGGGAUUUGAAUACCUCUGGAGCCCAAAUCUCCUCGUAUUUGCAGGCGAUGAGCAUGGCGGUGAUGCCCACAAGCUGCAGGUCCCUCCGGAGGACCGACUCCAGCGAGAGGUACCGAUCGAUGAUGUAGACAGUCAGGUAGAGGGUCUCUGGCAUGAGUUCGAACUUGUAGUGGACUUCGAUCAGCCAGUCGACGAGGAUUGCCCUCAUCUUCGCGUUUAUCUCGAUCUGAGAGCCCAUGUAGUCGCGAGGUCGGAAGGAGCUCUGCAACAACAAGACUAGGUAAAUCAAAUAAACUGAAAAUGAUGACGACGACGACGACGGAGGGGACGGGGGAGGAAAUCUGAACACACCUCGGAGAGCUUAUAGAAUUUGUAGAUGUCCUCCACAUAAUCCACCACCGCCAGCUGAUCGCCGACGUCGACGGAAUCAAUGUCAGGAACAGUCUCUGCGGGCUUGAGGGAAAUCCCACACGCAACCUGAGAAGGAAGACGAAUUAGGAGAACUCGAUGAAUCAGAGCUACUGGUCGGACGCUGGUGGAGACCAAGCAACGAGCUUCACCUUGCUCCGUGCAGAGAGCACCGACGAGAAGGUGUGCACCUUCUUCCUCGAGGACCUUUUCUUCCCCAAAGAAGACUCCGCUGCAGUGACUGGUGGGACGAUCUCGACGACGGCCGUCUCGGCCGGCGCCUUCUCAAUCUUCGGCUUCGCGGCGGCGUUCACUUUGGACUGCUUCGGGGGGGCCUUCGUUCCUCCCCCUGCGUCCAAUUUUCCAGGCUUCUGCGUAUUCUGCUGUCAUGGGUCGGAGAUCAUCAGUAAUGGAAGGCGUCAAGAUGGAGACGACGAUGGAAGGAAAGAAGACGAUGCCGGCGGUAACCUUGGCAGCAGCGGCGGCUUCGGCGGCCGCUUGUGCAUUCUUGAGAAGUAGGGCUCCGAAGCUCCUCGUCACGGGGCGGGAGAUCUGGGGCUGCGGCUUCCUGCUCGUGGACGAAGAACAGAUAUUGUUAGAUUGGGAAACCCUGAAACAAAACCAGUCUGGUGGAAGAUGGAGACGAGAGAGGGAUCAUACCCUUCCUCCGGACGACCUUUGGCGCCGUUGACCAGAUUCCCAAUGUCCCCAAGAGCUCGUCGGUUGGCCCCCGCGGGAGCUUUCUGCUGCUUCCCAGUGGGGACUCCUGCAACCCCUGCAGCCAUUAAUCGUGAGGGACGUGAGAACCAGAAAAUGGAUCGUCAGAAGUCAACGAUGAUACAUCGGCAAGAAGCCUUCGCCCGGAACGAGCCCUUCCAUAAGAAGAAGAAUCCAAGAAAUUAUUCAAAACAAGAACCCUAGGAACGGAGACGACACAUGGAAACGGUUCUUCGUCGGCGACGAGCCAAAUCUGAGAAAAAGAGUGGAUCCAAACCAAACUCUUCAGUUCGUUCAAACCCGCCUGCCUUUCGAUCAGAAGAAGUCAGCUGGAGCAUUACGACUGCGUCACUGAAAGGGAAUCGUUAAAUCGAGGCGAGUCGGAGCGGAAUCGAUGGCCGGAGAGUUACUCGCGGCAUAAACCCAAUAUUAUGAAUGAAUCCAUGGAUCCGCCGCGCAAGAACAUUUGGCGGAUUAAAAAAAACAAAAAAAAAAGAUCCAAGAGUGACAGUGAGGAACGAUCGAAGGGGAAACGUUUUCUGUCUAUCGAUGAGACUUAAAAGAUCCGCAGAACAAGCCGAAAUUGCCAUAGCAAUACCCCUCUGCUGCUCCGAGACCGGGACCCGAUGCCUCGUCGCCAUCUCUUUUCCUCUUCCUCCUCCUCCUCUUCCUCCUCCUCUGCAGAACCCUACGGGCGACGAGGGCCUCCGACCGACCCUUUCGCUCCUGUUCUCUCUCCGUGCUACCGACGAGCGACGCUGCUAAAUAUGGGGGGAUUGGGUUCAGGUUCCCGGAAGAAGAAGGGGGAUAUUGUGGGAAGAGGAACUGCGCCUCCUCUUUUCGGCACGGUGGUGUCUCCAACGGUCGGCUUGUUUUCAAAUCUCAACGGUCCGAUCUCAUCGAAUCCAACGGCUACACGAACGGAAUCGGAAUUCAUAGCCGUUGGCCCCUCCCUACGUCAGAGGCUUCCUCUCUCCUAACCCCACCACCCCCCCCCCCCCCCCCGAUUCCUGACUCGUCGACUCGGGUGGUCCUCAAAUCGGCCGGGGCCUGAUGUGGAAGUACUCCCCCUUAAAUUCCAUCCGACACCGGCCACUAUUUGUUUACUAUUUUUGGAUGUUUUUAUAAAGAACCCUAGUAAUUUUAUUUAUACAUAUUUACCCUAAUAGAUCUCCAAAUAAAUGAGGAGAGGCUUCCAGGAGAGAGGACCGAAGAGGAUCCGAUAGAGAGCGCUAAUGGUAUCAACCGGGCCCAAAUGACCGAGGCCCAAAGAACACGCAAUAUUAUCAAAAUAUUAGGAUGAAUUGGGCCAAAUAUUUUCCAAAUAUGUGGUGACAGUGAAAAAUGGAAACUAAGAUCAGGAAUGGCUGCCAACCCCAUCCCGGCCGUGGGCGGCGUUGACCCUUCACAGAUAUUGGCGGCGCCGCCAAGUUAGAUUGACUAGCGGCGGAGAUUUGUCCGAUGCUGGCUGCGGGACCCCUGCUUGACGAAAGGCUGUCUGCGGCUGAGCCCUCGCUUCGGUAGAUCAUGCAGCUCCAUGACCUGAAUUGUCCGCUGCUUCUUCGCUGCAUCGGGGUAGAGCAGAACCGACGUCAUCAUCCUCGCCCACAGGAUGGGGAAGUUAGUCAAACCGCAUCACACGUGCGAUUCGAGGAGUGGGUGAAGUCAACGUCACCAUUCUCGGCUUGCUGGUACCCUUCAUGGAGCUUCCUCUUGGCGGCUUCAAGCUUGGCGCAAACUGGGGUCUCCUCGCGAAGCUUCAACCGGGGAGGACCAGAGAAACGCAUCAGGUGGAGGAUUUCCUUCACACUGCGGAUCGAUUGAAGCGAAAUUGGGAAGAUCCGUCGUCACUGUUACUCACAUUGCGGGAGGAGCUAGAAGAUGCCUUCUUUCCUGUUGUGGGAGGUCCCUGCCUCUUCUGGGAGCUACCAGCAUCGUUGACCUUGGCCUCGCAUGCCCUCUGAGGUCUUCCAGGCCCGGAGGCAAGACUGGAGCUCGAUCGUUUCCUCUGCGUAAUGGGGGCCUCCGCUUGCGGCCUGCACCGCCUGGCGAGGGGUUCUUGCGGGCUCUCCUCCUGCUUGCUGGACGACGGCUGAUGCUUCCUCGUCGAUCGCUUCUGAUGCUGCAUGGAUGGCUUCUUCGUCCGGCCCUCUGCGCGCCUGCCUGGUUCAUCGUCGUUCUGGGCACCUGAAUGAAGAUUCACGGGAGAAAUAAUCACUGGGUGUGUUCAUCGAGGAUCUUGGAGGAAGAAGAUGAAGGGACGCGAGCGAGCUCGAAGAUGAGGAGCCCACUUACAUCCGUCGUCGCUCAUUCCAUCGAAGAACUUUACCGCGCAGCAAGAUCGCCGAGGGGGAAGACAGGAUGAAGAACACACAGUCAGUUUCGCUCUUCAAUUCUUACCUCAGAGAUGAGAAGAUUGACAAAAAUGGCAGCCUAAGCAAGCUUUCGACCUUCGCCAUUUACGAAUGCUCAGACUUGCAGCAUAGCCAACGAAAAUAUUCCAUGUCUCUUAAAAAAGAAAGGGGUGAAGGCCCGGCUGUGGUUCGGUGGUUCACCUGCGAGAGCUCCAUGGCGCCUGGAGUGGCGAACAGGGCGCCCUCAUCCAUGGGAGGGGAAGGGAGCCCUCCUUCCUCUCCCUCGUCUUCCACAACGGAAGGAGCUUUAGACUCCGGGGUGCCUUCUGCCGUUCGAAACGAAGGGUGAGAACAGCUGCCGCCCAGCUAUAAACAAAAAAGCCCAAGAGCGGCAGGAGAAUCACCCGUGAGAGCAGCAGUAGCAUUCAUCCAUUCAUCCACCAGAAUCUUCCAGCCCCUGUGGAUCGAUCAGAGAUCCAUACACAAAAUAAAUAAUUUCACAUUGAUCUGUCGAUUAUAAUCGAAGGAAACAGAUAUCAACCACAUAUAUCUUGAUGCAGGCCAAGAACAGAGAAAGAAGCUCGAAAAAAAAACAGCCACGCUCAAGGAUCGUGGAGGAAGAAGAUGAUGAUUCAUGCAGAGAUGAUUAAAUCACUGCCCGAGAACACUGUCCAUCUCGACCAAUUCUUCGAAUACAAUAAAGAGCGUAUGCGUGAUUGAAACUCCAUGGCGAAAGCUGAGGAAGUCUAGUCUUGCUCCACAGAGACACCAUCAGAUACGUGAUAUGUUCGUAACCCAUAGACACGAAUGCAUAAACAGAAAGAAAACGAUGAUCUGCAUGUGCAGGCCCGGAAAUAUUUCUCUGUUACCAUGAUUAGAAAACAGAAACAUGUGCUGGUUGGUCUCCAAGAUAAGGUUUUCAAUGAGCAAGCUCAGGAGAAAUCGUAAUAAUAAGAGCAAUCGAUUCUGGCGAAUUUCUGCAUCAAGUUAAAUAGAUAAGCUGGCUAUGAUGGCAUUUAAUUUUCUCCGGGAGUGGGGGGACGGGGAAGAUGAACCAAAAAUCAGAUAAUUCUCCUGAGUUUCGUCGGUAAUCAUCACGCAGUCGCAACAGAGAAUACCGGCUGAUUUUCACUUCAUAAGUGAAGCUUAUUCUGUGAUUACCAGGGAAACUUACCCGAUAAGGGAGGAUACCAGCUGAGAAAUCUGUCUUGAGUUGUGUCUCCGGAGCCCAUUCAGAGCUUUCCCAAUCUCCGUCGCCUGAAUCGAUGAGCAGAGGAGAAGUCAAAUGAAUGUUGAAUGAGAGCAGUGGGAGCUGCAGGCUUACUGGGAAGCAUUUCACUUCCAGGAACGAAGAAAAUUCCAGCACAACCUUGAGAACUUCCACAGAAAGAGCCAUCAAUUGAAGCCUCCUGAGGGACUCAAACAGCCGAGAAUCAGACUGAAAGAAAUCACCACCAAGGGGAACGAAGUCAAAAUAUUGGAGAAUAUAUUUCCCUGUCGAGUCGUAGCUCGCAAGAACAGAUUUGGGGGCGUCAUAAUUUCAUCAAAGAGAUUGGCAAGGAACGCAUGCGACGAAAUCUGUGGAUCGAAGACGCAGAAUUCUACAAAUCCUGAUUCGAGGUGAGGAGGAAAAUGAAACCAGAAAGUUCAGCGGUAGACCUCGUAGUCCUUGUUGACGAUAAUCUCCUUGAUCCUCAGCACCUCUCCGAUGAUCUGGUUCUCCUCCUCGAUCUCUUCCGUUAUUGCCUCAGCCUCAUCGAAGCUGUAAUUGCUCGAGACCCACUUCAAAUCUUCAUCGUCCUGUCGUUCAUCGGUGCCGCAGUUGACCUUGCUCGCCUUCUCGAUGCAGCCAGCGGGGGGGACGCCGUUUCCUCCGCCGAACUCUUCCCCUUCCCCCUCGAAUGCCUGGUGCUGGAUUCGAUCGCACCCGAAGCACCUUGGCAACUGGCAAGAGAAGAGUCUCUCGGUGAUCUGAUCCCUCCGGUUGCGAAACUCCGUCGGAUAAUCCGAUGCGGCGAUGAGGAUCGCGUGCUCGAUCACGAUGAAGAUAUCGGAAUCGGCGCUGCGGAAGUGCUUCCUCCAGUAGUCCAGCUCUCCAAAAUCCGCCAUCAUGCUGGCGGAAUCAGGGAAGCUCAGCGUCCGAUUCACGCUCUAGAGGAACCAAAUCAGCAAGAGAAGCGAUACCAAAAGAACGAGAUGAUGAAGCGGGUCCGUUCAGAAGGGGAUCGAUCGGUCCGGGAUCCUCCGAAUUCGACCGCGCGGCGUGCCCAACCGAAUUGCGAGCCCCAAAUCAGGAACAACUGCUAGAUCAGAGUUUCAACAGUUAUGGCUUUAAAUUCCAGAUAAAUGCCACGACUUCGGACGAUGGAAUCCGUUCCUCCUCUUUAAUUUGUUUUUCUUUCCCUUUCUUCGUGUUCUAAAAUCCGAAGAAUCCGAACUGUCAGCCUUAGGGCCACCAGCAGGGGAAGAAGCUGUUAUUCAUUCAUCCGCCGGUAUCUCUUCCGGAAUCGAGGAGAAGAAGCGGAGAAGGUGAGAGCGGAAACGGGGUUGACAGACAGCGGGAGGAACUCAGAGCCGCGAGGUUACUUAUCCGCGGUCCCUCCAGAGACAGAAGGGGGCAAUUUUCCAGGAGGAGACCUCCCUGCCAACCGAGAUAGGUGAGAUUUAUCUCUCAUCCGAUUAUCCCCCCCAGGAUCAGGAUGCGGAAGAGAGAGAGGGAGAGAGAGAGAGGAGGAGAGAGAGAGAGAGAGAGAGAGAGAGAGAGGAGAGAGAGGANNNNNNNNNNNNNNNNNNNNNNNNNNNNNNNNNNNNNNNNNNNNNNNNNNNNNNNNNNNNNNNNNNNNNNNNNNNNNNNNNNNNNNNNNNNNNNNNNNNNNNNNNNNNNNNNNNNNNNNNNNNNNNNNNNNNNNNNNNNNNNNNNNNNNNNNNNNNNNNNNNNNNNNNNNNNNNNNNNNNNNNNNNNNNNNNNNNNNNNNNNNNNNNNNNNNNNNNNNNNNNNNNNNNNNNNNNNNNNNNNNNNNNNNNNNNNNNNNNNNNNNNNNNNNNNNNNNNNNNNNNNNNNNNNNNNNNNNNNNNNNNNNNNNNNNNNNNNNNNNAGAGAGGGAGAGAGAGGGAGAGAAGGCGGCUCCGAUCUUCUCCAACUGCCCCUACCGUCUUCUCAUGGUGAAGAAGAAGACGGAAAAGGUUGCGGCAGCGGCGUCUAAGAGAAUUCAUCUCUACUGCAAUAAUUUACCAGUAGAGAGAGAGAGAGAGGAGGGGGCGGCACGUGUGUAUCUUCUUUGUCACACAGCUCGAAUCCCUUAAGAAGAAGGCACGUGGCUUACACGUGCGUACUAUCGUGCCCCAAACCCUCUGGAACAUUCCGGAGAGCCGUGGAAGGGCGGGUCUUAAACCCUACACUCCGUUGGGAGUCCUGUUAUUCGUUCGUGCCGGCACUCUGUUGAGAGCGUCGCUCCCUCUGUGCGUGUCGUCCGUUUUAGUCCGCUGCUAUGGCCGCUCUGAAGCGACUGAUCCCCUCGUUGAACCGCGUGCUGGUGGAGAAGAUCGUGCCACCCGCAAAGACCAACACUGGUAUCCUGCUGCCGGAGAAGACCACCAAGGUAUCUUCAUCUCUAUCCAGCUCUCUUACGGCCAAGGGAGAUACGCCUUUGCGUUACGUAAGGUGAUGAGGAUAGUUGAGGCUUUUAACAUCGGCUUUGUCCUCUGGAUACUUUGUAUUUUGCUUGUGUAGCCGUCGUGUUCAGUUUCUCUCUGUGAAUGUAUGUGUGCCUUUUGUUCCUGCGUGUCUAGUAUUGCAUUCGUAAGCUUUUGCUCGUCAGCUGAUAUCAGUGUUUCAUAUUUUAGAGCACAUUUGCUUUCUACUAUUGAACCCUGGUUAAUCGACUUUAAUGUGGACUUUUUUUCCCCUAUUUUCCCGCUCCUUAACUGUUGCAAUUACGGCUGUCAUUUGUCCAGGAGAACGUCCAAUGUCAUCUUGGUCACUUUCUCUAUCUGUUUAAUACCAACGAUGGCAACAAUCCAAUGUCAUAACAUCUAGACGAUCUAAGGUCUUUAUCUGGUGAAUAGGUUGAUUAUUCGAUUGACAAGCGCGUUUUCCUUAGAGUGCUAAUGUCUCAAGAGACCACUAAAAACUUGGGCCUGAUCGACAUCAAAGAGAUAAACAUUAAGUUUUAGGUUAUGAAAUUAUUAGAACGCUCAACUCUUGGUGAAUUUUCUUCCAGUUGCGGUGGUUUAUAUGGGGUAUACGAUCGGUCAAAUGCAAUCUAUAUCAAGCAACUAAUGUUGUGUACAUUCACAUUUGCAAUCGAAGUGCGUCUGUCAACUUUCUAGAAUUGUGUCAUACACGGGACAUGCUGAACCAACUCUUUAAUCCAUUGGCAAAUAGAGUCUCAGAAAGGGGUUGCGUGCUGGCAAGAAACAUUUCGCUGUAAAGGCCCGAUGCAAAUGAUUUAAAAUUAUCGUUGUAUCUUGUUUACUUUCAAGCUUUGAAGUUUGAAAAACCAUUCUGGGUUGGCGAUGGGGAUGAUUAGAUGAGGUGAUGAACUUGCCCCUACUUGGUUUCUGCCAAAAUUUAUUGUGAGUUAUCUUCAAAUACUUGUUAAUUGCAAUCGAGAUGAUCGUACUUUGAUUCCGCUGAUCGAAACAUGACUUGAAUAAACUUCUAGAGGUCAGAAGUGUCCUUAUAUACAUUCGUUUUUGACAAGAUAUCGUCUUAUGGUAAUGGGAUGGUGCUUUUUAGUGCCUUGUGGACUAAGAUAGCGAAUCGAAAAACUGUUAGCAAAAGAUCCUUAAUUGUCAUAAAUUCUCCCCUGCUCGUUCCUAAGGUGGUGUCUCUGGUGGAUUGGAGUGGAUGCAUUUGGUACUGGUUUCGAGGAGUCACUGAUACUAUGAUUGCAUUGGAGAUGUGUUAGGGUGCUCAUUUGAAUUUAAAUUCCAAAUGGAAGUGGCGUUAAGAAGCGUAGUUUUUUUUUUCUAUUGAUGCUGGCAGCUACAAGGAUGACAGUCUAAAAACGAUUUAUACACAGUUGCCUUAUUUAAUUUGCAGAGUUGCAAUGUUUUUCUGGGAGACCAUGCCACGCUGCGCCUUUGACGCUAUUGUCUUUGCAGGUCUAAUGGUUUAUGGCAUCUGUAAGGUUUUCAGUAAUGAAAAACCUACAACCUUUAAGGAACUGGUCCACUGUGAAAGUGUUGUCUGAGGAGAAGGGAAUUUGAGCUUGGAUGGAAGAUGGUGGAAGAUGCCUAUGAUGCUAUUGUUAACUCUGUGAAGGCCACGAGAAUGUAAUAGGACCACCUAUCAGGAGGGUCUGAUGGAUGGGAUAUAGAGUGAUUACCGAUGGUUGGAGUAGUUGAAUAACAAGAUGGACGAUGUGGUGGUGGACUGAGGAUCUCGUUCUUGAGAUAUUGAGGGUGGAACAUUUGGGGGGAGUGAAAAAAUUUAGAUGUCCUUCCAUUGAUUGAAAUGAAGAACUAUGGACAAAACGGCAACCGGUGAUAAGGACAUUAUUUACUUGCAACACGUUUAGGAGAUAAAAAAUGUUCCUUGGGAGAUAAUAGAAGGGAUCUAUGACGACAGAUUUGUAAGUUUUGUCCCAAGUGUGUGGCGAGAUGAUAUUUUAAGGUGGCUUGGUGGAUAUGGUUAGGAUAUGCAGGAUCGUUGCCUAUGAAAUUUUCUUGUUUGUUCUCUUGUUUCUUGGUAGCGCAUGUCUUCAAUGUCUUAUCUUUUCCUCACCCCCAGCCCCCCGAUAUCUCAGGUGCUUGGUCGUUAUUUCCUUCUGAUUCCCCCCCCCCUACACUCCCGGGUUGCCCAAAUUUCAUAUGGUCAACUAAAUUCGUUUACUUUUGUCUGUCCGUAAUAGCUGAACUCUGGAAAAAUCGUAGCGGUGGGCCCUGGCGCUCGUGAUAGAAAUGGAAAUCUCAUCCCUGUGGCAUUCAAGGAAGGGGACCAUGUCCUUCUGCCCGAGUACGGGGGUACCGAAGUAAAACUUGGCGACAAAGAGUAUGUUUUCCACUACCUCAGAUUCAUACAUCUAUCUUCUUGCUCUUCCUCUAUUAAUUUAUUGGGUGGUGGCGUAGUACUUCCAAGAAAAACAUCGUCGGAAUAACUUCACUGGAUAAAUAAAUGUCUUUUAAAUUGGUAAAAAAAUCAUUUAUUAUUACAGAAGAGAGUUUCUUUUUGCUUUAGGAGAAGUAUAAAGAAAUCCCUAGAAAAAUAUCAUCCAAGUGAGUGCCAGAUUGCUGCAAAGAAUUACAAGCCAGAAGUAACCGGAUUCAUUUAUGUUCUAGGAGAAUUUGUUCUUCGUUUUUUUCUUGUUCAGUUGUUUUCUCUUUCUUUUGAUCCUCGGAGUCGGAAAUGAGAAAUUCCGAAGAUAUCAACAGAUGAAAAAUAAUGUUUUGUCUAGUUGAUCAAAGUCACGGGAUAAAUUUAUUUUUCUAUAAUUAACCAAAAUCACAUUGGCAAGGAUAGAGUUUGGCUUUUUUUUUAAAAAAAAAGUUGGGUUCUAGAGAAAACUUAUCAGCUGAGGGAAUACUUUCACUGGAUUAAAUAAACGUGUUGUGGUUGACCAAAAUCAUAUAUUACGGAAGUCAAGUUUUUUUCCCUAUAAAUAAAGUAAAUAAAUUCAUGACACAAAGGAUCACGUUAACCAAACGUAGCUUUAUGAUUUGAUAACCAUACUCUCUUACCUUUUGAUUUGACUAAGAUAAAAAUCUAAUUCAGCCAAUCUCUUUUUGGGGGUGGACUCUCUCAGGCUCCAUCUCUUCAGAGAAGACGACAUCCUGGGAACGCUUCACGAGUAGCGACGUCAGCACCGGAGAAGGUCAUUUUCCCCUGCAACCUGAGCGGGCUCUCUUGCCGGAGUUUGUUUACUUGCCUUGAAUUCUGUAGCUGAACAGUGCCGUCCUCUCUGUCCUCUCUCACUCGAGCCGUUGACGAGGUCGCCAUUGCUUGGCAGAACGCUCAAUCGUAGCUUCAUUUUUCCUCACAUGCUACUAUUUAAUGACCCCCCCCCCUUCCCUCCUUCUCCCAACAACACAGAGACACAUAGAGAGAGAGAGAGAGAGAGAGAGAGAGAGAGGAGGNNNNNNNNNNNNNNNNNNNNAGGAGAGAGAGAGAGAGAGAGAGAGAGAGAGCAAUACCAAAUAGCCUACUUUUUCCUGCUCGUUUUUUCCCAAUAAAGUAAACAAAAUAUAUUGUCAAUCAUUAUACGGCGUAAAAUAUUGACAAGUGAAGAUGCGUAGCCUAUCGGAAUUUUAUAAUCCGAGUCGUAUAAUACAAAUCGACUUCGUCCUCUGUUUAUAUUGAAUCAUUAAAAUUAACGAGGGGUUAGGCGUCUUCUUUCUUUCCUCAAAGACCUCGCCGCCUUCCCUCGAAAGCCCCUCUUUUAUCCCUCCUUUCCACCCUCUUUUUUCUCCUUCUCCUUCCCCUGGAGCUCUCUCUCUCUCUCUCUCUCUCUCAUCGAGGCUCGCUCAGGGAGUACCAGGAAGGAAGAAACGUGGAUCCGUUGGACACCCAUCUCCCCAUAUUUUCUGCUCAUGAACCCCCCCCCCCCUCUCUAAUUAUAUCCGAAGAAAAGCCGGAAAGGGCAGAUUUUGCAGAGCCCAGCGAAUGAUGCAAAGCGUCUUUUGACCGCCGGCGCCGGGCAGAGAGAGCGGCGGCGCCUGGCAUCUCGGAGGCCGUUGCUGGGACCCACCCAUUGGCCAGGCCCAAUCGUACCCCAUGGUUGCCGCAGAGCGUGCUCCCCCUUCUCAUCUUCAUCCUCGUCGUUUCAAAAUUUAUUCUUGUUUACGGGUCAUUCCCGGCGGUGGCAAUCAUACCGGGGGAGUCGCCGUCCUCGUCGCCGGCCGGCUUUUGAUGAUGGGAUGUCGGGGAUUUCGUGGAUCGUCUGAACCCGACAAUCCGCAUGCGCGUCUCCCUCCGAUCGAAACGAGGAAGAAUCGGAGCGGGCGGCGAUGCUCCGCCUGCACUGAUCGCCCCCCGUUGAUCAGUGGAGACGAAACUGGUACGAGUGAGCAUUUGCGAGCAGUUUGGCAUGUAGCCUGUUCCUGGGUAGGCGGCGGCGGUCGGAGCUCGCCGAAGGAGAUGGGAGCCUCCGGCUGAGCAGACGGCGGGUUCCCCGCUCUCUCUCUCUCUCUGUCUCCGUGCCUCCUCUUUCCGAAACAUCUCAGGGAAGGCGCUGCUUUAUACUCUGCACAGAGGGGCGUAACUAAUAUAAUAUCACCUCCGCCAUAACACCACCGCACCCUCCCUCUCUCUCUAUCUCUGCCCACUAGCUCUCUCCUUCUUCCUUCUCUCUCUCUCUCUCUCUAUCUCUGCACACUAUCUCUUUCCUCUGCUUUGUCCGCUGCCACUGCUGUUCCCUUGUCAUUCAGCCGUCGUAUUUAUGGUAAUGUGCUCGAUUUCUCCGGCAGUCAUCUUCGAGCGCCGAAUGGUUUCCACGGCCUUCCCUCUCUCUUUAAUAUGCAGGAGCUGGUAGCCGCCGUCUAGCAGAGCUGUUCUUUGGGAAAGUCUGUCUCCGCCGGCAACCAUAAGUCACCCCGUCCUCGCCGUCGCCGGGUCCUUCUCCUUCCGGAAGACCCUGCGGCUGCUGCCCCUCUGUUUCAUCCUGAAAGCGGAAGACCCCCCGCGAAGAACCCACAUCCAUAUUCCCCGUGCGGAGGUCUCCGUCUACCCUAGUCCGCUCCUACGUCUGCCCUAAUCCCUCCUCCCCCCGGACCAGACGAUAUGAUCACUGCCUCGGACCUCUACCAUGUUCUCACGGCGGUGGUGCCGCUGUACGUGGCCAUGAUCCUCGCCUACGGCUCGGUGAAGUGGUGGAAGAUCUUCUCCCCCGACCAGUGCUCCGGCAUCAACCGCUUCGUCGCCAUCUUCGCCGUCCCCCUGCUCUCCUUCCACUUCAUCUCCACCAACGACCCCUACGCCAUGAACUACCGCUUCAUCGCCGCCGACACGCUGCAGAAGCUCAUCAUCCUCGCCGUGCUCGCCGUGUGGACCAACGUCAGCUCCCGGGGCUGCCUCGAGUGGAGCAUCACCCUCUUCUCCGUCUCCACCCUCCCCAACACGCUGGUGAUGGGCAUCCCCCUGCUGAAGGGCAUGUACGGCGCCGCCACGGGCACCCUCAUGGUGCAGAUCGUCGUCCUCCAGUGCAUCAUCUGGUACACCCUCAUGCUCUUCCUGUUCGAGUACCGCGGGGCGCGUCUGCUCAUCGCCGAGCAGUUCCCCGACACCGCCGGCUCCAUCAUCUCCUUCCGGGUCGACUCCGACGUUAUCUCCCUCGACGGAAAGGAGCCGCUGCAGACCGAAGCGGAGCUCGGCGACGACGGCAAACUCAGGGUCACCGUGAGGAAAUCCGCCGCUUCCCGCUCCGACGUCUUCUCCCGGCAUUCUCACGGCCCGGCGGGGGCGGCCAUGACCCCGCGGCCGUCGAACCUCAGCAACGCGGAGAUCUACUCGCUCCAGUCUUCCAGGAACCCCACGCCGAGGGGGUCGAGCUUCAACCACGCCGACUUCUACACGGCGGCAGCGGCGGGUGGCCGGAACAUGCCUGGUCUGAGCCCACGGAGCUCCAACUUCGGCAACAUGGGCUUCGACGAGGAGACCGGCGGCGGUAAGCUGCUGAGGCCCAACGGAGCGGCUGCGGGGGCGCGGAGGAAGGGGGAUGGGGGCAAAGAGCUGCACAUGUUCGUGUGGAGCUCCAGCGCGUCCCCCGUGUCGGAAAUCGGUGGUCAACUCUCCAGAGGGGGAGAGCUCGGGAGCGACGACCACUGUAAUGGUGAGAGAGUCGCUCUCUUCCCAGGCGCGUUAGUUCUCCAUGCGCGCAGCUGCUGCAGCUGACCUCCAUGAUUUUGGGAAUGGUUUUUGCAGAGGCUCUGCAGAGGGAGAAAGACGAGUGCAACAAUCUAGCGAAGCCCGCGGCGGCGGGGGCGUCGUCGACGCCGCCGGCGAGCGUGAUGACGAGGCUCAUCCUGAUCAUGGUCUGGCGGAAGCUUAUCAGGAAUCCGAACACCUACUCCAGCCUCAUCGGCCUCAUCUGGUCUCUGGUUUCCUUCAGGUUGGUCCAAAAUCUCCCCUCAAUCACAACUGCGGCGUUCUUCGUGAGAUAUCUUCUGACCAGUGAUCCCAAUGAGGCAGGUGGGGAAUCGAGAUGCCCGCCAUUAUCGCCCGCUCGAUCUCCAUCCUUUCCGACGCAGGGCUGGGCAUGGCGAUGUUCAGCCUCGGUAAAUCCUUGGUUUUUCUCGCUCUCUCGUACAGGGAGCGGAGGCGAGUUAACUCCGUCUUCUUCCUCCUCAGGCCUGUUCAUGGCGCUGCAGCCAAAAAUCAUCGCCUGCGGGAACUCCGUCGCCGCCUUCGCCAUGGCCGUGAGGUUCGUCACCGGGCCGGCGGUGAUGGCCGCCGCGUCCAUAGCCGUGGGGCUGCGCGGUGUCCUCCUGCACAUCGCCAUCGUGCAGGCGGCGCUCCCGCAGGGGAUCGUCCCCUUCGUCUUCGCCAAGGAGUACAACGUGCACCCGGACAUCCUCAGCACCGGGUUCGUCGAGUAGCUCCGCCAUUACCGCCGCCGCCAAGCUCCCCCUUCUCGCCGCAGAGAUGAUCUGACCGAAGUUUGCUCGUCCAUGCUCGCAGGGUCAUCUUCGGGAUGCUGAUAGCGCUGCCCAUCACGCUGGUUUACUACAUCCUGCUGGGGCUCUGAAGCGGGGAGGAGGACGGACGGAGAUCGGACGAUUCAGGGAAGCCGCCGGGGAAGAGGUCGGACAUCGGGGAAUGGGGUUGAUUAGCUCUCUGGGAGAGAUUCUUGCGGGUCGCUGUUUAGAAGUAAAAAUCUAUGCUCUUCUUUUGCUGAAAGUCAACGCUGUUCUCUCUCUCCCUCUAACCUCCGUCGGCCGUGGCAAGCGGCACUCAGAGUGGUAAACGGGUUAAGUUACAGAGAGAUCUAAAAAGUAAAUCGGUCAGUGGGGGCAUUCCGAGAAUCGAACUCGGGACCUCUCGCACCCAAAGCGAGAAUCAUACCACUAGACCAAAUGCCCGGUUGAGAUCAAGUUUAAAAAUUAAAAAUUAAUAAUCUAAAAUAAUCACUUCACCAUAUUUCCCUCGUAGAAGCUCCCCUCCCGGAGAAUCCAUGGCCGGAGUUAACCGUAGAACAAUGGAUCGAGACAGAACGCUGGUAACCAUUGCCCCACUUUUCUUAUGAUUUUGAUUUGCAUAGUAGACGGCAACCGGAGCGAUCGCAGCGGUAGUGCGUGGAUGCUCCGGAAAGAUACUUCGGAGUCGACGAUGGGGCUCUACUUGCUAUAUACCCGGGAUACUGCUCAACUUAUUUACCACAUACCUAAAAUACGUAUAAUUUGAUUCCGUUUUCUGCAAGGUUUGUCUAAGUAUUGCUAGUUCUGCUCCCUUUGGUGGGCGAACGAUUUCUGCUUCUCGACGCGGUUCGUUGUGUUCUUGUAAGAUGCCGGGUGAAAUGUGUUACGAACUCGCGUGGUUUUAGCUCCUAUUGGCUGAGGACUGGAGAAGGUCUACUGGUUCUACUGCGCUUUAAAACGAAAGUUUGUUUAUUGUCGAAAGAAGAAUUGUUUUGAGUGCUCAUUCUCCAAACUUGUAGACGUCACUGUUGCUAUUCCAAAUAGGAAUCUCAGCAUUCCAUCAAAUAAUAUUUCUUGUGCGCGUUCAUCUUAGCGAACGUAUUUCUUGGCUUUAAAAGCUCUGCUGUGAUUCGUCAGGAUUUUGAUGGAUUCUUGAAUAACCUACAAGAUUGGGAUGCCCUUAAGGUUGGAGACGGCGCGUCAAAGACUCGACCUAAAAUAUACAAGGAAGGAGUAAGUAAAUCUCUCUAAAAUUUCUUGAAAUAAUUGUUGCCUGUGAUAGGUAUACAUCCCAUUUCGGUUGUUGGUUGUUUCAUGUCAGAAUCUAAAAAACUUGUUUCAACCCGAAGUCCGUUUGCCAUUUUAAGUCGCAACCAUGCAUGCUCUCAAAACAAAUAUGUUCCGAAGAAUUUAUUAUAUCAUACAUUAUUGAUUUCAUGAGUUGACCGUUUGUCAUUUUAAGACGCAGCCUUGCAUGCUCUCAGAACCAACGUGUUCCGAAGAAUUUAUUGUAUCGUACAUUAUUGAUUUCAAGAGUUGAAUGAUGUUGUCUAUUCUCUUAGCUGAGAAAUGUAAUGAACUUAGAAAAGGACAAAAAAAGGAAAAACGGGCAUAUAUUGUGAUUUACUACCAUACAAUUAUCAGAUGGGUAUUUUUUCUUACGUUCAUGUGACUAGACUGGAAUGAUUGCUGGGUACAGUUGAAAGACUGAUCUCACUAUGCAUCAGUCCUCUUAUGGUAUUCUACUAACAGGAAUUCAGGCAUCAGCGCACCACGAGUUAGCAAAGGAUUCAAGAGUUGAUUUCUAAGGAGACCUCUAGCUCAAGUUCGUUUACUAAUGAUAUUUCUAGUCUGAAAUUUGUCUUCUUUACAUGUAUGAUAAACUUGUAUCUUACUGGAGAUUGGUCUGGACAAAACAAUAAAACCACGAUAGAACUGGCUUUUAGUGGAUCCUGCGCGGUAUAUGACUCUGAUAACCCUUUCAAGGUAGUUAUUUAAUAAUUGUUGUGAAGAGUGGUUUCAAAAUUUAUUUAUUAUUUUUAAAUUUUUUUUAAAAAAAAUGAAUAAAAAUGUCUUCAAGGACAUGGGCUAUGUAACUAUUUUUCUCUCUUAUCACACAUGACAUGGGUUGUAGCCCCCUUAAAUGGAGUUCCAAUGAGAUUAGGCCAGCUGUUCUAAUAACACUUGCUUAUACAAAAACUUACACAGUAAAUAAGGUCCAGUAGAGGCAAAGCAAACAAAAAUAAGCAAUGCAUCCGGAGACAAUUUUGGUCCAUUUCUUGUACUCUGUAUUAAGAAGAGGGCGUUCUUUGGUUGUAAAGGACGAGGACUUGCUUUUUGGAGGACAAAGAGGAGUUGACCGUAUAUUCUGAGUAGCCUUCUUUCCUUGAACGACUUAGAUGUCUCGUAUUUCCCAGAAAAAGUGAUUCAAUUGACGGGAUUUGGUAUGAUACUUAUGUGACUGACGAAAUCUUCGAGCCUGCGUGGAUGAUGGUAGUUUCUGUGGAUCAGCAUAAUCUGUUUUGGUUAUUAACACUGGAUCUGUAAAAAUUCUCCAUCCUAUGCUGUUUUAUCCAUGAAUAGCCAUGUUUUUGUGGUGAAAUAAUCUCUUGGGUAAUGGGUCUUCAUUUGUACCCUUGUUUUCAUAUUUCGCAGGUUGCCUCUCCAAAUUCAGGAAAGGAAGUGAGAGCUCAAAGAAAAGUUUCACCAACUGAAGUCAAGAAGCAGACCUCCCGGAUAUCAGAAAUCUCUCCCAAAGGCAGUCGCGAAACUUACAGGAAUUUCAGCAGUUCAGAUGCAACAGAAUACACAUCUUCUCAUUUGUUAGAUGAUGAAUCUCUCCCGACAGCAGCUUCAGAAAAGGAGCUAGUAGGGUUCCCAUUCUCCUCUUAUUAUUUACAAUGGACAGUUAGGAAUAUGCUCUGCUGGUCUAAGGCUUUGGAAAUUAAUAUAUUUUUUCCCUUUUAUUUCCUUUCCAGGGAAACGAAUACUUCAAGCAGAGAAACUUUUCUAAGGCAAUUGAAUGCUACUCCAGAAGUAUUGCGCUGUCACCAAGUUCAGUAGCAUUUGCAAAUAGAGCAAUGUCAUAUCUCAAGUUGAAAAGGUGAGUAUUAUUUAUGUAUAAUUCAUUCAAUUAUUAUCUUGCGCGCGAAAAGGCCUUUGGACUUGUUGAUUUUGGGCUAGCACUACUGAAACUAAUGAAUGGUUCGAAUGCCUAGAUGGAAUUCAGUUGUACAAAGAAAUGGCCCAACUUUCUUUGAUUCAUUAGAGAGAAUGACACUGCUUGCCACGUGGCGAAUAUUGAGGUUGUUCUGUUUCUUCUGGGGGGUAUUUUCAUCAAGUAGCGUAUCGGGGCUCAUCUAGUGUUCAAUUGAAAAUAUUGCCCAGAAUUUGAGUCAGAUUGCACGAGUUGUGUAAAUUUGUCCCGUGGCACUGUUACAAAAAAAAAAAAACCUCGAGGAUUGAAGUGUGAUGCUUGUUUUUUUUCACUGUGUGAACCCAAACUUCUCGUACCUUCUUAUAUGUCUACUCGUUUCUUUAGACUGUUGUGCUUUGUCUCCCUGGUCUUCCCAGUAUCAGCCAUCCUUAUGCCUCUUCUUCUUCCCAUAACACAUUUAUAAUGCAUGUUUCAACUAUAUACACAUCUCUUGAAGCACACCCACUCUGAGGCACCAUAGACACGGGAAGGAGACCCAACUCCAUUAGUUUUUUUCUUCUACUGAAUAAAUGUAUAAAUAAGAGGGGGGAAAAGAACACACCCCGGCCAAACUCUAGCUGCCGGGGAGCUAUUUCUGGCACUGCGUUCCGCUGCUUGAGGCCUGUUUUGUGCAGUCAUCAAGAAUUCUCAGUACUGCUGUAAUGUCGCUUGCUGUUUACUGCAUUUAUUACUCUCAGACACUAUUUUUUUGCCUUUUCCACUGUUGCCAUUCCUUCAGCUAUUUCUGUUCAGCAUGGAUGGAUUAAACUAUUGGUAGAAUUGUGUGUCCCUACAGAGCCAUCAGUUCCCUGUUUAGCCCUAGUCAUUGUAUGCAAGUGGAUUAUUUUCUCCAUGUGAGUAGCACAAAUACGGAACAUAUGGAACAUUGCUCUAUGAAAGCAGCCUUCUAAAAGGCUUCACAUUUUUCUCCGAUGCAUUGAAAGAAUCAUAGUUUUCUAAGUGCCGGUAAUAAUUAUGAGCAAUUUUACUUUAUUCAGUUUCUAAGACAGCAAAAAGUUAGCAUGAGAUUUCAGAUAGUUGCCAGUAAAUCAUUUUUUGUGCACUCUUCUUGCAACAACGCUGUGAGAAGAGUUAUUUCAUUUUCUUGUGACUAGGGUCCAUAUUUUGUUCACAGAAGCAACUUGCUUUUGCCUAUUUGCUGAAGAUGGUUGAACAUUAUGUCAAACAUGAUCUUUUUUUGUUUCCUUUUCUGGGACGCUUCCAGGUAUUUUUGUUCUUCACUCUGUGAUUGCUUUUGAAUUGAUUUUCUUCCUGCCAGAUUCGAAGAAGCUGAGGUUGACUGCACAGAAGCCUUAAAUUUAGAUGAUAGAUACGUAAAAGCAUACUCUAGACGAGCGACAGCCAGGAAAGAACUCGGGAAACUUAAAUCAUCCCUUGAAGGUUGUGCAUAUUAUUAUUCGAGCAUCCUACUUGUAAUCAUAAUUUAACAAAUUUCGCUGUUGUAUCCCGUUUUUGUUGACGACUUGUAAAUUGCAGAUUCUGAGUUUGCAUUGAGACUCGAGCCCAACAAUCAAGAGCUCAGGAAACUGUAUACUGAGACAAAAGCACUCUAUGAUGAGGUAAAUCAUGUGCUGACAUGUAGAUACUUCAUGGUUUCUGAUUCAGUCGUUAGCAGUUCUAAAACAUAGAUUAUAGUUGCGGAUUAAAGCUAAUGAUAGUUAUUACCGAGAUAAGUCCGCUGUCCUUUGGUUUCAUUUCAGAGACUGACACUGCGUGUAUGCGUUCUCGUGUUUUAUUAUCUUUAAAUACGGAUGACUGCUACUUCUACGGUCUCUUCAAACCUUGUUCUGCCAGAAAGAUUUAUAUGUAAUUAUCGUAUGAAUUUAAUACAGGAAAAUGCCAAAAAGGUAUCUGGUGCAGCGAAAAGCACCAGUAAACGAAUUCCAGAGGAAAGGAUUUCAGAGAUUGGAAAUGGAAGUGCUGCUGCUGUCGACCACAUCCCAAGUAACUCACAGAAGAUUACACCAACUGCUGGUCUUUCCAGCAGUGAGGUAUCUCAUAUCCUUGAACACCGCUUUCCAUAAGUUUUUGGUCCUUUUGGUUUACUUCUCUUCUUGAAAAGGCAUGCUACUUUGUAGAAUCUUGCAGAGUUUUGUGAAUCUUGUGGCAAGUCGACCUGAUGGUAGAUGGUAUAUGUUGUCUAUCCCGCAUGCUAUUGGAUAAUAAUAACUCAAAAAAGGCAUUAAAAUCUGUAUUUUGGGGGAGUAUUUUUUUUUUAAAGGGCCAUCCAUCCUUUUUCCAUCCCAUCUUUCUUAAGCAUUGCAUGAUAUUUAUGAAAGGUCAUCACUUGAUGUCUUUCAUGGUUAUUUUGGACAUGUAACAUUGGGUUUGCCGGUUAUAUCUCGUGUGAAACUCAGUUAACUUGUAGUUUCAAUACCGAUUUUGUUACCGAAAAAUAAAAAAAGAUUGCGUCAUCUUCAAUUUUGAGGUAUCUCGUCUUUUAUUCUCUGGUGAUGCCACGACAUCUAUUUCUCUUCUUGGCAUGGGAACGCUGGCAGUUGUUCCGCCUUUCUACCCUGCUGAGAGAGGAGUAUUUGCUUCAGCCUUGGGCAUGAUCAUUCUCAACUCUCUAAUAAUAGACCCGUUGUUAAUCACAGAUUCUGAAGCGUUUUCGUUGACUUUGUUGAUCUCAAGCAGAGAAAAAUUGCCAAGAAGCAGGAGCAGAAGCCCCUCGCAUACGAGCUUGCCUCUCGUGCUGCCUCCCUUGCCACAAGCGCUAUUCCCGAGAGAAUCACUACCCCAAGAACAGCCUAUGAACUCGAGGUCUCCUGGAGGCUUCUGUCUAGCGACUCUCAGAAGCAGACGAACUUAUUGAAGGUUAUCUUUUUUAAAAUGUUUCUCCAUGGCCUGAAUCUUAUUAUUUUAUCUUUCCAUGGUCUCAUUUUGUAUUCUCCUCUGGGGCCAGAGCAUCUCCCCUGGCUCCUUACCUCAACUGUUCAAGAAUGCGCUCUCUGCUCCGAUGCUGAUUGAGAUCAUCAGGAGCACCUCGACAUUCUUCAGGUGUGUCCUCUGUCUCCUUGCGUGGCUCCGCAUGUGACCCCCGUCUGUUUCUGAGCCAUGGCUGUUGCAGGGAGGAGAUGGAGCUGGCCGUCAGUAUUUUAGAUAAUCUAACCAAGGUCCCAAGAUUUGACGUGAUCAUAAUGUGUCUCUCUGCACUAGAUCGAGCUGGUACGCCCUUCAAUCCUGUUCCUUGCGCAUUGGAAUCUGUCGGGCAGCCUCUUUUUUAGUUAUAUUAUCAAUAAAAAAGCGCAUUUCAAGCCGACGCAUCAGCAUUGCUGUUCUUGUCGAUUAGCAGACGUCCAUGACGACCCAACACUCCCGUUUCCUGUGGUUCCUCAUCCCCGGAAUGGGAAUAAUCUGCGGAUGGGCCGACUUCCAGCCUUUUAAAGUCAUUUUAACAGCUUUUAUAUUCUUUUUCUGGUAAACGGCCGUAGCUACUGAGAGUCGUCUCGUUCGAUCAGAUCUCCGCAGGAUAUGGGAUGAAGUCUUCUCCGGCAACGCCGUCCCCGAUGAGCAUGCCGAGGCGUUGGCUCGGCUACGACGCCGGUACUGCGCUGGGGCUUGAACACCCACUGCUCAAGCCCUUCGACGGUCGGAGCUUGAAGAACAGGCGGGAGAUGGGGGGAGGAGGAAGGAAGCCAGCGAUGAUCAUCAGAGAUGAGCGCCACGAGUCUCAGCUAUUUAUCGUCGCAGUCCUCGGAGGUCCAGAGCGCUGUAAAUGGGGAGUAAGUUUGAUGGUUGCCGGAGAAAAAAACGAGCUUUUUUAGCAUGCAGGCUACUGGCCUACAGGCACCUUUUCUUUUCUGCGGAAACCAAUAAAGCUGUAAAAAAAAAUUGCUUCGAGGGUGUGGUUCUUAACGGGCUCGGCGUGAAAGAGAGAGGGUUUUUGACCCUUCUGCAUCUUCUUUUAGGGUUUUGACCCCCCCCGGGUUAUCCCACUGAUGGCGGAGACCUCCUGUUCCUCUCAGCCUUUACUGUGAGAGAGUAAACAGUGGAAUCCUCCGUCAGUAAUGUCAGACAAGCACCCAGUAUUGAGCGGGGCCAUUCAUGGCGAAGACCCGUAACAAGCGUCAUAUUCCCCGAUGACCCAGUAGGUACGCUUCACGUGAUGUGUUCUCCUGCAGUCCAUAGAAGAACCCUAGACGACCCCUCAUCUUCAAGCGAUCCUCUUGUCUCCGUCUCCAGACUUCGGUGCUGCCACAUGCUGUUUGGGUUCUUCUAUUUCUUCAUCGGCAGCAUGGUGGGGAUCGUAUUCUCUAGUUAAAUGGCUGUUUCGAGCUGGCCUUGAUGCCGCUGCCCGAGGUCUCCCCUACCUUCCACCUAACAGGGCUAGCAGGGUGGGUGGCGGAUUGGGAAGAAGGUGCCCGAGAAAUUUAUCCGUUGAGAUUGAUCAUAUUGACCAUGAUAUACUGUGAAUUAUUGGGCGCGAUCAAGAACAAUCUGCUGCUUCUGUAGAAUCAUUUCAGGGGUUGGGAUCGGUAUUCGUCCAAUCAUUGUUCCUCAUCAGCGGGUGGGCGGCGUUCAUUCCCAGCCCACUCCGAUCCUUUCCUCGGGCGCCUCCGUGCAGUUAAUCGUAGAUCUUGGACUCGGCAAGUGGCGACGAGGGCGAGCCGGUGAGGCGCAUUCAGUGCAAGGUCAACGGGGACAAUCGAUCCUUCUUUUCUGGAAGGGAUCGUCGCCCGUUAUAAUGGCAUCCACUGCCGGCCCCUUCCCUGACUUCGGAAACCCAACUGGCGGCUGCGGAGAAGGGAUGGACGAGAUCAAGGGAAAUGGUUGAACUGUCCUCAUAAGAAGGGGUAGCGGGAGGCGAAGAUACGCAAAUCGAACCAGAGAAAUCUCUGAUAAUCAGGGGUCAACGAGAUCAGGGAAAGAAGGGGUGGAAGGGCUUCUUGCAGUCUUCCCUCUCCUCCAGGGCAGGUCGACGUCCCUUUGUCGGCUGCUCGCUCGCCCCCUCUGCCCAGUUCCCUUCUCCUGUCAGGCCGCGGAGUCCGGUAGGGACCGGAGGUCCUGGCCCUACCGAGGUCUGUCUCUGCGUGCGAAUUAAUGCCAGCCUCCCUUCACGUGGCUCACCUUCCCCUUGCUACGCUCCACACUCUCUCUCCUCCCUCUAAACUGAUGUCACGACAAGUGGGUCGCUCGAAUCCGAUCAAAAAAGGGAUUACUUUGAGGAGCAGAAAGUUUUUACGCGUCAAAUGAUGUUCUUCAGUAAUUUAUUAUCGAGCGCCGCAAUAAAAAAUUUAUUUCACGAGCAGAAUCGUUUUGAGUGCGAGUGAAGUCCGCGGAUUCAGGAUCUCUUUUUCAACGUCCCAGCUUGACGCAGGACACUGUUCUUUGAUGGGUAAAGUAUCUGUUGCUCCUCCUCGCUGCUCCACUGUGGACUCCUCGGGGUUCUCCUCGCUUGGGUGGGAGUAGCAGCCAGCUGAGGCCCGCUCUCCAGCCUCUCUCCUCCCGAUUCGUCUCUACAGUGAGUAGCGCAUUGGGUCUCUCUUCUCGGCGCUCCUCUCCUUGCUCUGUCCGUGCUAGGUUGAGCGCGACCUUCUUCUCUCCGGCUCUUCCAUUGCUCUCUCCGUGAGGUGGCUCAUUUUCUUCAGCGCAUUCUCAAUUCUUCUCAGGUUUAAGGUGGGUUUCUUCGUGGGGUUGACCGCCGGAGGCUUCGCUUUUACGGCGCUGAGAGUAGCUCGGUUUCUGGGUUCCCUCCGGAGGUGAUGGGCUUCAUCUCAAGGAGGGUUCUCCCCGCAUGCGGGAACAUGUGCGUCUGCUGCCCGGCGCUGAGGCCGAGCUCCCGGCAGCCCGUGAAGCGGUACAAGAAGCUCCUCGCGCAGAUCUUCCCCAAGAACCUCGUGAGUGGCUCCGGCGCCGAGAUCCCCUUUUCCCUUUCCCUCCAAUUUGCUCAAACUUCUCUCCGUCGUCUCAUAGCGCCUUGCAUCCAUCAGUAUAGCUGAUCCGAACGGCUAAUGGGCAAGUUCAUUCCAGUUUUCCGGGCAAAGAUGAAGUGAUCAAGUGCAUCCUGUGUUUUCGGACAGGCAUUUUCCGGCCAUGCUCUUAUUUGCUUUCCUGGUUCAUCUAUUCAGGACGGGCCCCCAAAUGAUCGGAAGAUCCUCAAGCUCUGUGAAUAUGCUGCUCGGAAUCCGCUACGCCUACCAAAGGUGAAACUUUUUUUAUGAAUCUGUUUUCAGUGUUAUGGUUUUUAAUUAUCCAACGCCCCAGAAAAGAAGAGAAGGAAAACUCACUGGAAGUCAUUACUUUUUUGUGAAGAUUGCAAAGUUUCUUGAGCAGAGGAGCUACAAAGAAUUGCGGAGUGAGCACAUCAACUUCAUCAAAAUCAUCACAGAGACCUAUAGUAAAUUGCUCUGCAUAUGCAAAGAGCAGAUGUAAGUCGUGUUGCAUUAUUUUUGUCUCCAUACUUAUUUUCUUGAGACACCUGCAACGGCUAGCACUGCUCAGGACUUUUCUAGGAUGAAAGAGACUGGUCACCAACUUUUUGUAGUAAAAGACAGCCGAUUUGAACGGAUUGUGGGAGGGGCCAUUUUAGAGAGAAGCUAUGAUUUGAAAGCAUAGAUUUGUUGCUUCAGAUUCCUUGUUUGAUGCAACUAGGCUUCAAUUCAUGCCGCUUUGGGCUAUUAUUGCGGGCUGCUUUGUCAUUAUGAAAGAUAUUUAAAGGGCGAGCUAUGGGAGCAACGCUUUGCGUCCGUCAAAGUCCUAUCUAUGACAGUGGGUGGUGCAGAUAUGGCAGUCUUUUUUUUUCUUUUUAAACUGUUGGCCGAUAUUAUGAGACAUAAUUUGAUUUCUGGAUGGAUAUCUAUCGGUAUUUAGGUGUGUGAUAUGAUGUGGGUUUGACUGUUACAUGUAUAUCUCAUUAUUACAUCUUUUGUUUAUUUUUUAAUUCAAACAGGGCUUACUUUGCUGUUAGUCUACUGAACGUGAUUGUUGAGCUUUUGGAUAAUAAACGAGCAGAAACUGUGCACAUCCUCGGGUGCCAGACUCUGACGACGUUCAUUUACAGUCAGGUGAGUACUUCUUGCUAGAAUUUAAGUUUGAGUUAUUACUGUACUUAUUUCCAGCCAAUAGGUCAAUUUUUCUUCUUUUCUUUGUACGCCUACCUACUGACUGGGCCUACAUGAGGUUGGGUACAUCGGCAGUGGGUUGGACACAGUUCAAAUGGCUUCAGGGAAUGAGAUUUAUGCCAUUAUCAGUUUUUGGUUCUUGUACUAGUUUGCUCGUCUUCUUUUGGCUGCUUUCUACGUGAAUUCAGUUCACUGGUUUUUGGAACUUAUCUUUUAUGGUAUUAUCAGUGGUUGGUUCUCGCACUUUUUUUUUUGUCUUCUUUUGGCUGCUUUCUACGUGAAUAAUUUUCCAAUCCUGAUCUUUAAUGUAUAUUAUGCUUUACGCAAUGAUUCUUUCUGAACCUGAAAUGCUUGAACAGGCGGAUGGCACGUACGCACACAAUAUUGAACAUUUAAGUCAUAGGGUGUGCAUGCUUGCCAAAGAAGGAGGUGAAGAGGAUGCUGCACGCCGUUUGAGGGCUACAAGCCUGCAGUGCCUCUCAGCAAUGGUUAUUUUCAUUCUUCUAAUCAUUUUUAAGAACUGCGGGAUCCUUUUUUUUUUUGCCAGCAAUAGAAUUCAGCAUCGGUAAUGUAAACCUUGAGGAUCAUAGAAUUGUGUCUUCAUGCUAUGAGCGAAAAUCUUUCAUUUAUGGAUUACUUGUUGCCUGUUUUCAGCGUGGUUGCUGAAUAUGACUUUUAGAAUAUAUUGAGACUCAAUUUUUUUGAUACCUUCUUCAUCAUAUACGAAUUCCCCAGCAUUUAGGUUAAUUUACAUUCCCUAGUUGUCUUGGCCCAUCUUACAUGUUGAUGAUUAUCAUGGCAAUGAUGUAAGGUACGAUGGGGCGCAUUCCCAUGUACAUGCGUCCAUAGGUGUUGGUUCGUUCCUCUCUGAGUUUCCAUUUCCAUUGUGUGAGGCCCAAUAAGUUUACAUCUUAUGGUGAUAUAUAUAUAUUAAGUUGGGCAUUCCCACACAUAUCCAACAUUGGCAUCUUUCAUUAACAAAAUUGAAGUAAAUUUACCUGUUAUUUUCUAUUUCAGGUGUGGUUCAUGCAGGAGUAUUCUCACUUUUUUGCUGGUUUUGAUGAGGUAUAUGCUCUUAUGCACUUGAUAUUUCUUAAAAGUGAGUGUUGGGCAUACUGGAAUUAUUUUUUCUGAAUUCUGAGUUUUUCCACCAUAUGGAUGCUGUAAUGCAGAUCGCGGUUGUUGCUUUAGACAAUUAUAACUCAAGUCAAUCCACCGAAGAAAGUGGUGCAAGUCAGGAGUCGAGCCAUAAUUGGGUUAAUGAAGUUGUUAGAUGUGAAGCAAGAGGCCUCUCAGGGAUUGGAACUGAUAUUAACUCAAACAUCCUCGGCAGGCCUAGGCCUGAGAUAAGAGAUACUUCUUUACUGACAAGGUUUGCCUUUUAUGAUGACAUUACGCACAGUGAAUCAUAUUUAACCGCUUACUCUGGCAGAUAUCAAAAGAAUUCUAAUGAGAUGAUGAAAUUACUGAAAUGAAGUGUAGUUAUUUGUGUUGUGAUUUUGUUUGGUAAUUUCUACUCUUUUUUUUCCACCAAAGUUUGCCUGGUAGAUAGCACGACUCGUUGAUCUCCAAGCUAUUUCCGCAGAAAAGUGAGAAUCGUUGAGAAGAAGUUUUAAACAUAUGACUCCAAGUUUAAAUACAAUUUUAGUGCUGGAAAUACCAUCCCUCCUCCUCAAUGCACAUUCAAUUUCUGGAGUUUUUGAGUUAUUUUUCCUUUUUUGUAACUACUUUGCAUUUGUCUCAGGGAGGAGAUUGAAACGCCAGAGAUUUGGGCACAGAUAUGUAUCCAAAAAAUUGUUGAAAUGGCUAAAGAAAGUUCAACAAUGAGACGUAUAUUAGAACCUAUGUUUAUCUACUUCGACACCAAGAAACAUUGGAUUCCUGAUCAGGGCCUGUCAAUGCUGGUUCUCUCUGACAUUUCUUACUGGGUGAAGGGCUCAGGUGCUUAAGCUUACUUUUAUUUUAUUUUAUUUUAUUUUUGAAAGUUGCUUGUUCUGUUUAACUGCUUUCACCGCAUGGUCCUGAUAAACGGUGCAUUUUACAAUCUUAGACAGGAUAGUUCUACUUGCCAUCAAAACGCUGUUAUUUUUCUUUUUAGUAUCACAUAUUUCCUUUUCUUUUUCCCUCCCUAAAUCUUUCUGAUUCUCUUCUUUUUCAUGACUGUUACUUAAACCAUUUAGCACUUUGCAGUCUUCUGUGAAUCUCAAUCUAAAUCGAUUAUUAUGUGUUGCACUGUGCUAGAAUAUUAUCGCAUUAUUUUACGCCAGAGGUAGUGGAUUUAGGAGCUUCCCUUUAACGUGUAAACAUCACAGAGAGGCUGAUAAUGUCCGACUUGCCUCUAAUUUUCUGAUCUGUUUCUCUUCGUCUGCUGCUGUUGUGUACUCUUCUUGCUUACCAAUGUUAUAUAUCAGCAUGAUUCAUAUGCUUAUCACAUUGCCACCUUGUUUGAGAAAUAUCUUCUUUGGAGACCCUGCUGAUCUUCAGUUUCUGCUUCUUUGGACUUCUGGCAGGUAAUGAGCAGGGACUUAUAACUGCUGUCAUCCGACAUUUGGACCACAAAAAUGUUGUACAUGAUCCGAAAGUCAAAUCUGAUAUAAUUCAGAUUUCUGCGGGCUUGGUUCGGCAAUUAAGAUCCCAAAAUGUCGUUCCUGAAAUUGGAGUGAUCAGCGACCUGUGCAGGCAUUUGAGGAAGAGCCUUCAAGCGACUGUUGACGUAGUUGGACCUGAAGAAUCUGGCUGGAAUUCCUCGCUACAGAGUUCCAUCCAAAACUGCUUACUAGAGAUUGCCAAAGGGGUACGCUUGCCUCUCUCAGAACAUAUCUUCUGCACUGAAUAAUAUUUUUAACUUGGUUAUUUUUUUACCAUCAAUUUUUAUUUCUCCCAGCUUCUAUUUAGCAAGAAAAUCAGUUGGUUAUCCAUUUUUUUGACUCUUAUGGUCUCCUGGUCCUUCAUUCACCAGAUUGAUGAUGCGCACCCACUGUUUGACAUGAUGGCCAUAACAUUGGAGGAGCUCCCCCCUGUUGCAAUUGUCUCUAGGGCAACGAUCGGAUCUUUACUCAUACUUGCGCACAUUAUUUCUAUGACAGUCCACUCACAUUCGCAGGUAGUAGGAUUAUCUGAUCUCCAAUUUUUAAUGCUACCCAGUUUCUUUCCUGUAGUAAUGCAUUUUAUUUUCUUUUUCUGUGAGUUUAUUUUCGCAGACUGUGCUCCGUAAUUUUGGUUCAAGUUUGCCACUGCCUGUUUUUGGAUCCCCUUUUUUGGACGUGGAAUCAUGAUAGGGGUUAUUGGCACACGGAGGUUGGAUCCAAAGGAAGGAAUGGAGUAAUUUGACCUUAUUUGGGUGUAUAGCGCAAGAAAAGCUCAAUAAAUUUAGUACCUGUGAUUCAACUUCUUUUUACACACUUCCUUCCAUUCUUGCCUGGACUUGAGAUGGAAGGGCUCAAUUCUGAAUCAAAGUUAUUGGAUGAAAUUUUUUUAUUCUGGCCCAUUGUUGUCUUGAACUUCUCAGACAGGUUAUAUGGCUCUCUCCGUUUUUGAGAAGAAUUCAAUUCUGGCAGCGACACUAUUUCUCUCACAAGAAUAGACAAUCCUUCGUUCUUAAUUAAGAUCUACUGAACUUAAUGUUUAUCUUUCCUGAUCACCAUACUGGGGUGAUCAUGUAGAUGCACCUGGGUAGCAUAUGCAAUUAAUCUCUCAGACAGUACACGAUCUUACUAUUGCUUUAUGUGGGCCAUGUGGCUAUGCCACUAUUGCCACUGACAGAGAUUUAUUUCAUGCUCAUUUUAUCCUUCCCUUAUUCUUGAUUUGAUCCAGUCUUAAAGAGAUUAUAUUUUUGCUUUGGGUAUCCACAUGCCGUAUUCGAUCCUUAAUUUCCCAUUUUGAUUAGUCCUAAAUCUGGGUGAUUAGCAGGUCUUUCCGGAAGCUCUUUUGCUUCAACUGCUCAAGGCGAUGAUGCAUCCAGAUGCUGAGACCCGUGUAGGAGCCCAUCAGAUAUUUUCAAUUCUCCUCGUUCGGAGUCCCAACCAUCAAAAACAUAAUGGCGUCUACGAGCCAAGGAAAUGGCAAUCAGAAACUGCUUCGGCAUUUGCUUCAGCCACUGCUCUGCUGGAGAAACUUCGCAGGGAAAAGGAAUGUCUGAGUGCCGAUAAGCAUCCAAACGAAGAUCGCGAUGGUACUAAGGAAAAGGAAAUAAUUGAUGAAGAUCGUAAGCAUGGGUUCAAUCGAAAGAGCUCUCCAAACUUCUGUAAAAUCAGUUACUCUAUCAUUGAUAGGACUGCCAGUUCCUCCGGCCCGGUAGAGCCAGUAAGUGCCCGUCAUCUCAAAAUGUAUCCAUUUUUCAAAUUUUUUUAGCAGAAUGUUUAACAUUUUAUGCUUAUUUCUUCGAGAUCAUUAGCACAUCCUGUUGAAGAAAGCGCUUAGCUUCGACAUGGCAUUCGAUUUUAUAUAGAAUAUUUUGAUUUUUCUUUCUAUUCUUUUUGUCAGUAUCAUCACGUUUUACUAGUUGUUCCUGACUUUGUUAUUGCUUGUUCAUGGACUCGCGCAGGAAACAAGUAUUACCAUGUUAAAUGAAGAUCAAACAAGCCAGCUACUCUCUGCUUUCUGGAUGCAGGCAAAUCAGCAAGAUAAUUUGCCCUACAACUUUGAAGCGAUAGCCCAUUCAUUUAGCUUAACAAUUCUGUCCUCUCGUUUGAAGGUGAGAUAGGAGAUGCCUGCUACUCCUUGAAGUAUGGUUUCCUUGUUAAUAUCACCUUUAUAUUGCCGGGGUCUCCAUGCUGCUGAUUAUCCAUCGUUCAUUUUUUUUUGCUUAAAAGAAGAAUUUUAAGUUGUCAGUUGACUUUAAUCGCCUCAUAUACGGUGGUCCAUCGUCUAAAUGCUUAAUAUUCCAUGAAAACAGUAUAAUAAUUUUGGCACUCAUAAACGUUUUAUUAGCCUAUGGCACAUAUUAGGAGAUAUUUUCUCAUAACUUUCUUACUUGAAAAUCGUCCUUCUCUUGGGUAAACUCUUGCUAGUGCUGCCAUUUUAUCAGGGGCAUUGAGAUCCUGGGUGCCUAUUUCAUGAGACUUAUAUCCCUAGAACGCUUCUAUUCAUCUUUCUGGACCAUACCAAAAUCCUCUAAUUAUUCAACACAAUCAUGAUCUUGGUGCAUAAAUCGAUCAUUCCUUACUUGUCUUCACUUUUUUAUUUUUUAUUUGCAGAGCUUGAAUCAAAGUAUUAUCGCCAACUUCUUCCAGCUCCCUUUGUCUCUCAGGAAUCUUUCCCUCGAUUCUAAAGGUGGGUGUGAUAAAAUUACCCGAUUUGGAUGUUUUCCAUUUUAUUCUUCUGAUUUUCUACGACUAAUGUUUCUCCCAUGGGGCUUGAACAGGAGGAUCUUCCCAGGCACACCAACGAUCAAUCUUCAGUUUAUCAACGGCCAUGCUUGGAUUUGCAGGAAAGAUUUAUCAAGUUCCUGAGUUGACCGACUCUCUCAAGCCCCUGAAAUUCGCUUAUGUAAGCUGUCUCUUUGCGUCAUCUCAGCUUCACUUAAAAAAAAAAAUCAUGCUUUUCUACCUGAUAUGUUCACCCCACAUGCUUCUAACCAUAAUGUUAAUAGAUUUAUAUGCUAUUAAUAGGAUUUUCGCGGAAAAUUUAGAUCUAAUCUCGUUGUAUUUGCCUCAACCAUAUGCUUGAUUGCUUCUGUUUCAGGACGACCCGUAUCUGUGUGUCAGUGACGAGUUCCAGAUUCAUGUGAAGCCGCUAUCGGACAUCCGAGAGUACAACUCGGAAGCUGACCAGAAGGCUGCCGCCGCUUCUCUCUCUCUUCUGAGGAAGUCUGCGGAUGAAUGUGGAGGAUCUUUGCAGCUCAUCUUGGUUCGGGCUCUCAGCAGACUAACCGACGUAUGAGAUCCAGUCUGUCCUCAUUCCUGCAUUAAUAGUAAUCCGCAUUAUCCCAGUUGACUUUUGGCUAUCUUGCCAGCUGGCCGCGGACGACUUGGACAGACUGUUGUCUGAAACCUUCACCCCUGACGAUGAGCUCCUGUUCGGCCCGAAAUCUGUCUUCGACUGGGUCCGCACUCCGGAGGUCGCCCACUCUGAAGAAUCGCUCUCCUUCGACGAGGUGGGUUCGGCGGCGACUGCCCUCUAGCUUAAGGCCGUUGACCUUGGACAAUAACGGAAGCUUCCAUUGGUUUUUUUCUCAGGAAUGUUCUAGGACCUCGUCUGUCGGGGGUGAGGUCACCAGCGAGUCGCCCGCCGUUGACCAUCUGCACUUCUUCCCCAAGAAGAACGCCCUGCCAUCCUUGCCGCAAGUCAUCAGUGUGGGGCAGCUUCUGGAGUCGGUACUGCUCCUCCCCCCUGCUCUCGCUAUAAACUAAGACCUUGGGCCUUUGCGCCGGCGAUUCUCUCUCCUGUAUUGACAUGGCUGUGUUGAACCAGGCGCUCCAGGUCGCCGGCCAGGUCGCCGGGACCUGCGUCUCGACCUCUCCCCUCCCC
rnacentral:lncRNA from 1 species